GAAAGCCAAGUUUUACCCCAUGAGGGGAUGUGGGUAACACUGCCAUGAUCAAGAAUCCACUUUCUAGCUCUUGCACAAGCAUUGUCUUGGCCACCAUCAGGUCCUUCUCCAAGAAUACGCAUACAAAUGUAGCUGAGAGCUGUGCAGAACAUAGUGCUGUGUCCUUCAAUGUGUAAUCCCCAACCACCAUCUUGGUUCUGAAUUACCCAAAACAUUAAUGCAUAUUAAUUAGCAUUAUUUAUUCAGUAUUUUUAUUUAUACAAGCGGGAUUUUGGAUGCAGAAAUGAAUACUGUUGGCCAACUUAACUGCAACCCUUGUUAGUAGUUUAAGACAAAUAAGCACAUUUUGAAUUUUUUUUUUAAUUUUAUCCAAUUUGUGUGAAAAAAUAACAAAAUGUAUAUAUAUGUACCUGAUGAUAGUAUAUGUAACGCAGAAUUUCUUUACGGUGUUCUGCAUGGAAUACAGUGUUAAGAUGCCCUGUAAUGUAAACACACAUUACCUGCAAAUUUUGGGUAAAAAAUUGGAAGAAGCAAUUAAUAAAAAACCCCAAAUAUUUGGAGUUAGGUAAGAACUCGAGAAAAUAUGUUAUUUUUAAGCCCCAAAAUGGGAACAUGGGAUUGCAAGUAAAAUAUUUUCAUAGUCGGUUGCACAUUUUUUUAAAGUUGACAUUAGGUGUAAACUGUGUGGUCAUAGAGAAACUUGGUAAUUCCUCUCAAAUUUUGAAAGUUGAAAGACUAUAUAUUUAGAGUAAUGCUAGGGAUAUUAAAUUCAUAGAUAAAAUUUUGUAAAUUAAAUAACCUGAAAAUUGAUCAUUGGAUUAUGUUGAUAAACGUCCUCAUUUCUACUGGUGACACAUCAUUUAGUUUGCAAAUUUUGUCUAGAAAUUUAAUCUCCCAUAUACAUUGGGGUGAUGCUAGAGAGAUUAUCUAUUUAAACCAUAAGACAUAGUCGUUAAAGAUUGGAUUAGUACUUCUUAUUUUCUUUUAGUAACACAUAACAUGAUUUACAAAUAGGUCUAAAAAGUUAAUCUACCUAGCAUUACUCAUAUACAUUGGGUUCAAAACGUGACCUCAUAAACUUUAAGAAGCUGGUGUCAAUUUAUCCAUUAAUAUAAGUAGGGCAUUGCGUGGGUAUAUAACAUGAUAGUAAAUGGUGACAAUGUUAAAUACUGACCAAAGGAGGAAGGAAAAACAACGGGCCGGCAUUUUCGGCAGGCCAAUGGCCAUCGCUAGCCUGCAACGCUGAAAAGAAGUGGACAGACCUUCUCAAUGAAGCUGUGGCCUUUUCAUGUGUGAUUUCCUCUCCAUCCUCAACUUUAAUUGGGGGAAUUGUUUGUUUAAAGUUCUUCUCCCUUAGGAACUGCUGAUAAGUGAACAGAUAAUUAAGUGCGAUACUAAUAAGAGGAUUGAAGUUAUGAUUAAACAAAUUUAUGAUGAUGAUAAUAUAGUUAAUUAAAUUUAAAUAAACCAUAAAGAUUUAUUGGUGCUGUCCAUCAGAUAGGAAAAUGAAAACUUUGCACAAGAAACAAGAUAGACAAAAAAUCUGAUUUUUAUAUCUCUACUAAUUAAUAAAACACUCAUUAUCAACCAAAAUCCUAUGAUAUUACCAAUUUAACCCUCUAAUUAAAACAUAACAUGAAUAAGAAUAUGGGGUAUAAAUGUAAUUUCACACAACCAAAUUUUGCUGUUUUUUUUCAAAACCUCACCUACAUGUAAUUCUAACAUAUCUCUAAUUAAAAAAUAAAUAAAAAUAUAAAGAUAUAAAUAAAUAAAAACAAUUAUCAUUCCCACAUUCUCUAUCACUCUCUUUCUCUCUCCUUCUAUUUCAAAAAAUAAAAAAUAAAAACUUUUCUCACACACUUUGUGUGUAUCCAUAUCACAAGAGUCAAUUUUAAGUGAAUAAGAAUAUUAUUAAUCCUAGUAUUAAGUGGCAAGAGGAAAAUCAAUUAAAAUAAAGAUGUUAUUCGUACUUCACAAAUAUCAAUCGCACUCCUUCAUAAAACCAAGGAAGAAAAUAUACUUGGGUAAGUGCAAGAUAACGCAAGAUAACAUAUGUAGAAUGCUAAUAUGUUUAUACAAAAAAAAAAAUUAAGGUGGAAAAAUUAAACUAAUCAAAAGUUCGAAUGCCAUGAUGGAUACCAUUAAUCAACUGAGUAACAAAUGAGUAAACCUUUUGCAACAACUCCCAAAAUAAUAAGUCUAACGGUGACUACUCUUUCUUAAGUAAUAUUUUCUCUCCUCCUCAAAUUAUUUCACUUUAAAAAUAAAAAUAAAAGUCCAAUACAAACAGAUUAUGAGAAAUGAAAUUACUCCCCAUAGAUCAAAAGUUAAAACUUAAAAGGGUCCAACGCUAUUCACAUUGUCUCCUCUCUAUGCAUUUUUAAGUGAAGGAUAUUGUUUGGGUCUUUGGGUGGUUAGAGUAUGUUAUGGUGCAUUCAAGGAACACGCGAGCAUCAUGCUAGCUUGUUAUGGAACUUGUGGAUUUUAUAUACACACGUCAUAUGCUAUAUUGUGCUUCCUCAUUUUAUCUUCUUAGCUUCAUUGCAUGUCAUUCAUGACAGAGAAUAUUUUAUGGGUGUACUUGUUCACUUGUAGUUAACGCAUUUUUUACAUACAAACUUCAUUAUUAGAAUUACGUUUAUUCACUUUAUAUUCUAAAAAUCAAUUAAGUUAGAGAACAUUUAGUCGCUCAUACGCAUCAAAUGAAUGGAUGGUUGAUAAAUUAUUACCAAGACCGUUGAUCAUGUUUGAUAUAUAUAAAUCACUAAAUAAUCUCCAAAUUGAUUGAUUUUCUAUAAAUAUGAUCUUUAAAUAAUGUGGAAAAUUAAAAUAAUGUCUUUGAUUAUUGUAUGGUGCGUUAAUAAUAAGCGGGUGGAUAAAUAGGCAAGUGGACACAAGUAUUAAUUGCUUCUAAUAAAUAACUACAUCGGUGAAACCAAGUAACUAGAACUCACAUUCAUUAGAAAAAUGGUUUACCGUUUACGUUGCGUAAACUAAUUAACGACAUAAGUUUGGACGAACUAAAGCAUACCUGCAUUCGCCAUAGGAAGUCACCACUGGGCUUAACCUGAUAGCGGUUAUUGUAGAAAUGAAGACGAGCUUCUUCCACCUCAGCUCUCUCUUCAGUAGUUCCUGCUUCAGGAUCAAACUCAAAUAUCUGCCUUCCCACGAAGUUGUUUGUGCUGUAGAUGUAUGGAUCAUUGCCCCCAUCUGCGACCUUAAGCUUCCACAUUCUUCAAUAUUCUUUAUUUCUUUCUUCUUAUAAAGCACCUGUUGCAUGCAUGCAAUCUAUAAGUCACAAUAUAUAUAUUUAUAUCAUCACUUUAAGGGGAGAGACAGAGAGACAGAGAGACCUGUAUAUAGAAACUUAAAAUAAUAUAUAUAGUAUAGAGAUCGGAACAUUAAAAUAAUAUAUACCCAGCAAUUUUUAUUAAUGUUGUACCUAGGCAUACAAGGUAAGUCAAUGAGUGAGUUCAACGCAACACGGCAACAGGAAAUUAUUGAGCAUGUAGUCAUUGAAGGUUGCGGAUCUGUUUCUUGCCAAUUUGGUCCUUCCUUUCUUUUUGCUUGAUCUGUCAUUAAUUACCAUGUAAACUGGCAUUUUGUCGAUAUUCAGUCAAGUUUAAGUCGCAUAAAAGGCUGCAACACCUCAUAUAGAUAAGAAUGCAUGCGGUACAACUUUAUUACUAUCAAUCAUGCCAAUUAACAGCCAUACCCAGGGACGGCCGCCCAGGCUCAGUGCUGGCAGGGCGACAGUUCGGAGCUCAAAAUAAUUAGGGGCAUUAAAUUAUUAGUGAUAUAUUUAUAUAUGUUUUCAUAAGACUAUAAAUUUAUAAAAUUUGGUUCGAUGACAUAGAAAUUGAACUAGAAUUGGUGGUUUUGUUGUUUGAAAUUAAUGAAGAGGUCUUAGGUUCAAUAUACCAUGUGUGCUUAUUUAUUUUUCAAUUUUUACAAAUUUCUUUUCAUCGUAAGAGUAUAAAUAUAUAAAACUUGACUAAAUGAUCAAGAAGUUUAAUUAAAAGCAACGGUUUUUGUUAUUUAAAAUUAACGAGAGGUCUUAAGUUUGAAAUACUAAGUGCAUGUUUAUUAUUUUCGAUUUUUAUGAAUUUUUGUUUGGUUGUUAAUUUAUUUUUAAUUAGUAGCUAGUAGCUAUGUAGAUUGUUAUUUUUAAACAUUUGUUCCAAUUCAAUCCUAAUCUUCAACAAAAAGUCAUGUGUUGACCAAAUUUGCAAAUGAUAUGAUGUGUCAUAAAAAAAUUUAAUUUAGUACCCAUUUAAUAUUUAUACAUAUUAAUUAAAGACUCAAAAACAUCAUUAUUUUUUUUAGUCUCAUAUUGACAAGGUUAGUAAAUAAAAAAAAACACAUCAUGAUUUAUACAAAAACACUUUAAAAGUUUAGAUAGAAAACAAAAAUCAUAUCUAUCUACUUGUAAACCCAAAGUUUUUUUGUUUCCUUCUCAUGAUACAAAAUAAAUUAGUUUUUCUGUGUUUAUAAAUUAUUAAGUUUGAAGUACUUUUCUAAGUAUAAUUUUAUCGAUGUCUUACGUGUGAAAACAAAUAAUUUUCUUAUAUAAAGUGAGGGCACAUUUUUUGGCAUCACCAUGGGCCUCAAAAAUCUCUAGACUGGCCCUGGCCAUACCUCAAAGCUUCCGAGAGAUUUUUCAAUGCGUCCAGAGAGCAGCACGGUAUAUGUCAUUACACAAGUAGGGGGAAGUUUUAUUUAUUUAUGUUUUUUCCAAGUGCCCCUCCGCUUGUAUGAUGACAUAUAAAGUAUGUAUUCGUAUUCCAGAAACAUUAAAAAAUCUCUCCAAAACUUCAACCUCCACAUUGCUUUUCAAGGAGAAAUUUUUUAUUGUGACCGGAACACGAGAGGUACAUCACAUGUUUUUAUAUAAGUUGUGAGAAAUUUUAUUUUUAAGCUAUUAACAUUUCAAAACUCAUAUCCCACCAUUUGUAUAGUGACACGUGAUGUACCACCCUGUAUACCAGUCACACUGAAAAAUUUAUCUGUUACAAGUACCAACCAUUAUUAUCUUGGAAGAAAAUGUUGAGUGCUUUCAUUCUACCAACCAUUAUUAUCUUGGAACAAGAAAAUGAUGAGUGCUUUCAUUCUACCAACCAUUAUUAUCUUGGAAGAAAAUGAUGAGUGCUUUCAUUAAUUCUAUGAAAAUUACUUACUGCUUGUAAUCAUUUUCAUACUAUGUACACAUUAUUGCUCAUUGCAUUUGGGGUUUAAUGAUGUUUCAAGUGCUGAGUUGAGUUUCCAUCAUCAUUGAUGAAUUAUUGUGUCAAGUGUUGAUUUGAGUUUGCAUCGUCAUUGAUGAAUUAUUGAGAUGGACUCUUAUUAAAACCCUAUAUUAGUGAUGUCCCACAUCAAGACUUUGUACGAGUUUGAAUAAAUUUUCUAACAAAGUUUGUUGUACCUAACAAAUCUCCCCAUCAAUGAAGGAAUCCAAUCAGGAAGUCAAAUCCAAACUCAAAUAGGACACCAACAACAACAACAAAGCCUUUUCCCACUAAGUGGGGUCGGCUAUAUGAAUCCUAGAACGCCAUUGUGCUCGGUUUUGUUUCAUGUCCUCCGUUAGAUCCAAGUACUCUAAGUCUUUUCUUAGGGUCUCUUCCAAAGUUUUCCUAGGUCUUCCUCUACCCCUUCGGCCCUGAACCUCUAUCCCGUAGUCACAUCUUCGAACCGGAGCAUCAGUAGGCCUUCUUUGCACAUGUCCAAACCCAUUUUGUGUAUGUGUUGAUGCUUCACCGCCCAACAUUCUGUGCCAUACAGCAUCGCCGGCCUAAUUGCCGUUCUAUAAAAAAUUUCCUUGAGCUUCAGUGGCCUACGACGGUCACACAACACGCCGGAUGCACUCUUCCACUUCAUCCAUCCCGCUUGUAUUCUAUGGUUGAGAUCUCCAUCUAAUUCUCUGUUCUUUUGCAAGAUAGAUCAUAGGUAGCGAAAACGGUCGCUCUUUGAUAUUUCCUAAUCUCCGAUCCUCACCCCUAACUCAUUUUGGCCUCCAUUUGCACUGAACUUUCGCUCCAUAUAUUCUAUCUUUGAUCGGCUUAGGCAAAGACCUUUAGAUUCCAACACUUCUCUCCAAAGGUUAAGCUUCGCAUUUACCCCUCCUGAGUUUCAUCUAUCAACACUAUAUCGUCUGCGAAAAGCAUACACCAAGGAAUAUCAUCUUGAAUAUGUCCUGUUAACUCAUCCAUUACCAACGCAAAAAAGUCGUAAUCACGAAACUUCUAAGUACCGAAGUGUGGUAUCGUCUUCACUUGCCUUAUCUGUCUCAUAGGUAGAUGUGGCAUCUUCUCUAGAAGUACUCUUCCUCCAUCCAGGGGUGGUAUCUUUAACUGGUGGAGAUGCACAAGGUAAUGUAUCAAUUUCACUUGAAGCUUACUUGUAGUUUCAGGCUUGGUCAAGCGCGAUACAAACCAUGUAAUAGGAGUCCCCCAAGUCGCCGAGCUAGGGGAUCUGCUGAAAGAGGUGACAGACAAGGUAAGCAAUCAGAGCUCCAAGCAAUCAGUCCCAGAUCAGAAGUUUGAUUUCGAGUUCCGGCUAAUUGUUCUCAUUCUCCCUAUCUUGCAGGCAGCAUGAAGGAUAAAGAGAAGAAAAGGAAAAUAGAUGAUAUGAGAUACUUUUGCUUUUGAAGAGGUAACUUUCCACAGGCUUAUUCUUGAACUAGGCUGGAGGGUUUUCUGGUUUCCUCCAGAGUAUAAGGCCGACUGAAGAAUUUGAGGGUCAAAACAAGUCCAUCAAAUCUAGAGUACGUUCGACCCUGCUGAUAUGAGAUACUUUUGAUGUUGACAAAGUAGUGGAUAUAUCGGCACCUGUUCUGUUACGUUUGUCUCCACAUGCUUUCUUGUAUCCUUUUCACUUUCCCUAUCUGUUCCUCAGGCAGAUGUGGUAUCUUCUCUGGAAGCAUAAGAUGUUGAAGAUGAGUGCUCGAGAGAAAUGCCAGGUAAGUAAUCAGGUAAGGAGUUCCAGGCAGUCAGUUCUUGACUGGAAGCUUGAUUCCAAGUGCUGACUGAUUGCUCUCUUUCUCCUUGUCUUGCAGGUAAGAACAAGGCCAAAAGAAAAGACAUGGAAAAAGCAUGAUAUGGGAUAUUCUUGCUCUGGUGUAGCUUGUGCAGAGGUAUUAUCGGGGGGAAAGAAAGAUGAGUAUUUCGAGAGGCUUCGUUGGGAGUGCCCUCUCAGAUAUAAGGAAGGGUUGAGCAUUUUUGCAGGUCUGCCUGUCCGUUGAGGAUGGAGGUCGACAUAUAUAGGAGUCUCUCUAACAACAAGUAGUAAUGCUAUUCCUUUACCCUGUUUGGUCAUAGCACGGUAGUGGGAGCUACCAGCUUCACGUGUGUCAGAGCACUUUGAAAAAGUGGUCUGUGGUAUCUGGAAAGAUGAUGUUGCGUGUGAAGAUUACAGACAAGCUUUAUCCAAGGAGAUCUGGCUCAUGAAGUUGAGAAAGAGGUGCCUCUUCCGUUUUCGAACAAGCAAUCCUGUCGGGGAUCUGGCUCUCGAGAUUCGAAGAACGGUGCCUCUUCAAUUUUUGAGAGAGCAAUCUUACUGGGAGUCUGGCUCUCGAGAUUUGGAAAGCGGUGUCUCUUCGAUUUUUUAGAAAGUAAUCAUGUUGGGAGUCUGGCUCUCGAGAUUCGGAGGACGGUGCCUCUUCAAUUUUGUAGCAAGCAAUCUUGUUGUGAGUGUUUUCUUGAAUGUGAGUAAAGGUUGGGCAUGUUUGCUAGUCUACCUUGCCACGGAGCACAGAGGUUGACACACAGGGACUUUCCAAUUAUCCAGCAGUGGUGUUGUUCCUUUACCCUUGUGGGUAAUAAUAUGGUAGCUAGACCUUCAAAAUUUAUGUGUCUAAACUUUGUUAGUGCUGUUUCUUUGUUAUUCUUUUACCCUUCUUGGUCAUAGCGAUGUAGUGGGAGCUGCAAGCUUCACGUGUUUAAACUUUUUUAGAGAUUUUUGGCAAAGUUAUAUGUGGUACCCAUGAGCUGCUGGUGCGUGUGGAAAGUGGAUGAAUGUUAGAACGCCUUCUUCACUGAGUGGGGUCGGCUAUAUGAAUCUUAGAACGCCAUUGUGCUCGGUCAUGUGUCAUGUCCUCCGUUAGAUCCAAAUACUCUAAGUCUUUUCUUAGAGUCUCUUCCAAAGUUUUCCUAGGUCUUCCUUUACCCCUUCGGCCCUGAACUUCUGUCCCGUAGUCGCAUCUUCUAACCGGAGCGUCAGUAGGCCUUCUUUGUACAUGUCCAAACCACCAUAACCGAUUUUCUCUCAGAUUUCCUACAAUUUCGGCUACUCCUACUUUACCUCGGAUAUCCUCAUUCCUAAUCUUAUUCUUUCUCGUGUGCCCACAUAUCCAACGAAGCAUCCUCAUCUCCGCUACACCAAUUUUGUGUACGUGUUGAUGCUUCACCGCCUAACAUUCUGUGCCAUAUAGCAUCGUCGGCCUUAUUACCGUCCUAUAAAAUUUUCCCUUGAGCUUCAGUGGCAUAUGGCGGUCACACAACACGCCGGAUGCACUCUUCCACUUCAUCCAUCCAGCUUGUAUUCUAUGGUUGAGAUCUCCAUCUAAUUCUCCGUUCUUUUGCAAGAUAGAUCCUAAGUAGCGAAAACGAUCGCUCUUUGGUAUUUUAUGAUCUCCGAUCCUCACCCCUAACUCAUUUUGGCCUCCAUUUGCACUGAACUUGCACUCCAUAUAUUCUGUCUUUGAUCGGCUUAGGCGAAGACCUUUAGAUUCCAACACUUCUCUCCAAAGGUUAAGCUUCGCAUUUACCCCUUCUUGAGUUUCAUCUAUCAACACUAUAUCGUCUGCGAAAAGCAUACACCAAGGAAUAUCUUCUUGAAUAUGUCCUGUUAACUCAUCCAUUACCAACGCAAAAAGGUAAGGACUUAAGGAUGAGCCUUGAUGUAAUCCUACAGUUAUGGGGAAGCUUUCGGUUUGUCCUUCAUGAGUUCUUACGGCAGUCUUUGCUCCUUCAUACAUAUCCUUUAUAGCUUGGAUAUAUGCUACUCGUACUCCUUUCUUCUCUAAAAUCCUCCAAAGAAUGUCUCUUGGGACCCUAUCAUACGCUUUUUCCAAAUCUAUAAAGACCAUGUGUAAAUCCUUUUUCCCAUCUCUAUAUUUUUCCAUCAAUCUUCAUAAGAGAUAGAUUGCCUCCAUGGUUGAGCGCCCUGGCAUGAACCCGAAUUGGUUGUCCGAAACCCGUGUCUCUUGCCUUAAUCUAUGCUCAAUGACUCUCUCCCAGAGCUUCAUUGUAUGACUCAUUAGCUUAAUACCCUUAUAGUUCAUGCAAUUUUGUACGUUGCCCUUAUUCUUGUAGAUAGGCACCAAAAUGCUCUUUCGCCACUCAUUUGGCAUCUUCUUCGUUUUCAAAAUCCUAUUGAAAAGGUCAGUGAGCCAUGCUAUACCUGUCUCUCCCAAGACUUUCCACACUUCAAUCGGUAUAUCGUCCGGGCCAAUACUCAAGCGAUGGCAUAUGAUAUAGGGAGAGAUCCUUGGCAUGUCUUCGUAUGACCAGGCGAAGACCUCAGUGUUCUCUUGCAAAAAAGAUAUCAAUGCCAACCGAAUGGGCGGUGACAAGAUGGUGCCAAUUUUAACCAUGCGAUUUGGAUAAUCUUUAGCGGGUUAUGCUUGCUGGGUGAAAGAGUCAUCUCGAGGAUCGUCGGGUUAACUGUUGCCACCAUGAGGAUCCAAGUUGGCUUCGUCUGGGCUAGUCUUUAUGACUUGGUCAUGUAUAGAAAAGGUUUCCUUGGGCACAGGCAGAUGUUGUUGCUUGACCGAAAUGUUGUAACAUGACCAUGCACUAAGUUGAUUUCCUCUGAUGUAACCAUUGCCACAAGGGGUGGGAAAUUUCAUCGACAACAUAUGUGUGGAUACAAUGGCCUUGAGAUCAUUGAUGCAUGUGCGUCCAAAGAUGACAUUGUAUGUCGUUGAGCAAUCAACUACUAGGAAGUUAGUGGUAAUGGUAGCUGUGUAAGGGCCUGUACCAAUGGUGAAAGGUAAGUGUAUGCUCCCUAUAGGUUGCACGAUAUCAUCGGAGAAGCUUAUCAGAUGAGAAAUCGAGCGAUCGAGCAAGUGUUUAGCUACAUUAAGUGCCCUAAAAGCUUCAGCAAACGUGAUAUUGACCGAAGUCCUCGUGUCUACCAGGAUUCGUCUUACUUCAAAGUUGGCUAUGUGAGCCUCCACGAUCAAUGGGUCGUUGUGAGGGUAGAUGAUACCUCUUUCUUUCUCAUGGUAGAAACAUAUUGGAUCCCAGUUAGGCUUUGGAUACUUACCCCCCAUAAUGUCUUCCACGUGAAACACUUGGUGGCCAAGCCUUAAAGCUCGUUCACUGUUUUUCAUAGCCCUAUUGGAAGAUUCAAAUAUGGGUGUGCCACCGCUGAUGGAAUAUAUCACAUUCACUUCGCGUUGGUUACGGUUAUCUCUUGAAGGGUGAAGGAGGAAUUGAUCAAUUUUUCCUUCAUGCGCCAAAGCUUCAAUAUGAUCACGAAGGGUGAUGCACUUUUCGCCAUCAUGGUCAUUAUGUUCGUGGUAGCAGCAAAACGUGCCCGUGUUCUUCGUGGGCUUAUAACCUGACUGCCUCGGCAUUGGCUUCAGUAUCAGGUGUGUUAUGCUGGGGUAAAUGGCCACGCAUAUAGCGUUCAAAGACGUGUAUGUCUCAGACCUCGGGGUAGGGCCUGUCCUGACACGUGCUUGGCCUACUGUGUUGACUGCCUGGGGGCGGGAAUUAUCGUGGCGAUACCCUUGGUUAUUGCGAUAGUGUCCCUUACUCCUUUUACUAAAAUGGGACUGGUGAGGAUGUAAAUCUUUCCUUUUGCCCUGAGAUUGAUAUGUUUGUUGACUUGGCGAAGUAUUAAGUAAGGCAGGAGGAGGCACCGCUGUCGUUUGGAAGGUCGAGGUCUUCUUAUUUGGUUGGAUCUGGCUUCCACUCCCUACUUGCUGAUAAGGGGUGGUUGUGGGGUUUCCCUUGAUAUGUCAUUGCCUCAACAGAGGUAUGGUUGUAAGCAUGUGCAAUCACCUUAGAGUAAGUCUUCCAAGUGUUGACAUUGCUCAUAUACUUGAAGAAACAAUCAUGUAGGCCUGCCGUGAAGGCUUUGAGGGCAGUCUUGUUGUCUGCCUCGGCACAAUGGGAAUACUCAUGGCUGAAGCGGCCAGCAUACAUACGUAAUGACUCGUCUGGAUUCUUGUAAAUAGUGUAAAAGUCAUCCGCAGAGUGCAAGCGAUCGGUCUGAAAAAUGUGUUGAAAAAACAAACAGUUUCUUCAAUUCCUCAAAUGAGUCUACUGUCUCAGGUGGAAGACAACAAUACUAGUUUAGAGCUCCACUAGAGAGGGUGAAGGGGAAAAGAAGACAUCGUUCUUCGUCGGUGUGCAUCCAGUAUGCCAUAGUGGACUCAAAGAGGUUAAAGUGUUCAAUCGGGUCCUCUUUUCUAGUAUAGAGUUGCAAACCAAGCUUCUGCUUUAUCUUUGCUUGGAGGGGGGUGUCGAGGAUCCUCCUUGUAAGAGAGCUAUGCCUAGGUUGGUUCCAAUAAGGUAUCUCAGCUGGUCGUUCGGCCUUCAACUUGUUUACUUCCUUUAGGAGUUGUAGGACAAGAAGGUUCUGAGUGGAGUCAUGUACCACUGGAGUUUUCUUUCGUAAAUCUUGAUCUCCUCUUGGAAGUAGGAAGGUUUGAUCAAGAGCAUGUGAUUUUUCCUUGGACUCGCCAUACUGACUUCUAAGAUAUAUCUGUCAGAACAUCUCUGAGUCCCCUAUACCAUCAUGUUUCUCUAGGACUUGUUGCCCCUUCCCCAAAUUUGUAGCUAGCCUGGGACAUGAGAAUGGACCGAGUCUUUCAGAGACCCUUGGGUCAUUGAUCUUCGAGCUUACAUGGAUGUGAUUGUCUCGACGUUGCUUUAGGAAGUCUCGACAGUCAUGAAAGACUAUUUUCAAUCCUUCCACUCCUUCAGUAAGGAGGUGCCUUCCUCCACUCCUCCUGUUUCGAGUCGAAGCAGCUGGGUUGAGAGAAGUCUCAUGUUGGUCGCCAUUUCAAUGAGUAGCUCGCUCCUCAACAGGAAUACCCAUGUCGAGGCCAAAUGACCCUCCGUGUUGGGGGCACCCAGUUGAUGGUUGACUUCCACAGGGGUGAUGAGCUCGUGUGUUUUAGUAUAUCUAGCCUCGUGAAGCAUCUUGAAGACCUUCUCAUACCACUCUUGGAGGAUCUCAUUCUUCAUCGCUAUUUUGUUGUUCUGAGCCUCGAACUCAUCGACUUUAGCCUGAAGAGCAAACUUCUUUUAUUCCUUCUUUCGUUGCUUCACACCAGGUGCAAGAUAUGUGUUAUUCUGUGUGAUGUGGCUUCCUUCACUCCCUAUGUUGGAAAUGGAUGCCUGGUCAAAUGAGAGUGUACGGAUGGUGGAAACCAGCUUAACAAAGCUGAAAAGAGUGGGAAUAAGUGUCGUUCCCACAGACGGCGCCAAAUGUUGAUGCACAAAAUCAAUGAGGACUUUGGUACAACAGAAAGUGUUAAGUUUGUGACCUUCGCUAGAUUGCUUCGGUCACUAAUGUGGAUAAGUAUGUAAAUGGAUAGAGACAGGGAAGCAAACACAAGAUGUACAUGGUUCACCCAGAUUGGCUACGUCCACGAAAUAGAGGAGUUCUCAUUAAUUGUGAAGGGUUUACACAAGUACAUAGGUUCAAGCUCUCAUUUUGUAAGUAUUAGUGAAUGAUUUAGUACAAAUGACAUUCGGAAAAUAUUGUGAGAGAAUGAUCUCUAUUUAUAGAAGAGAGUUUCUAUUUUCAUUCUGACAUUGACACGUGUUGUGCUGUGAUUGGCCUCUGAUGUCGACACGUGUCGCGUUAUGAUUGGCCUCUGAUGUUGACAUGUGUCAUGUUAUGAUUGGCCUCCUGGUUGGAGGGAGACUCUUGUGGGUCCUUGGCGGUAUAAUGUUGAUUGGUGCUUAGUAGUUUCGGGGUUGGUUAAGUAUGGUACAAACAAUUUUAAUCAAUGGAGUAGCAAAAUGAAGGAUGAGAACCGAAUUUCUCCUUAACAAAAUCUCUCCAUCAAUCAAGGAAUCCAACCAAGAAGUCGACACCAAACGAAAUAGGUAACAUAUACCUAAUUUAUGCAUCAUCCUAAUUUUGAGUCGUAAAUCCCAAUAAUGUCAUUAUCCUUCAUAACUAUGUUUUAUUUUGUAUGGAAGAUGCUAAGGAGACUUUUAAAAGUGAGACUUCUCAUGGACUCUCGCCAUCUUAUAUUUUUUGCACAAUAUUUUAUAAUAUUAGCACAUAAAUUGACGUUAAACUGUGAGGUGAUAUAAAAUCCAUGGAGAGUCUCACUUUGAGAGAAUCUCGUUAGCAUUUCUUGUACCAAGAAAUAUCUGACUAUAAAUACUUGAUUAUCCAACUAUUUGUGAAAAUUAUUAUCUUCUACAAAUCCGUCUAAGACCUUUAUUUAUUAACAUUUCAUUUACUAUUAUAUCAAGCCCAUCUUUAUUAGAAUUAGGUUUUUGAGGUAAAUUUUCAUUUUCAAUGUUCUUUAGAACUACUAGCUAGUUAACGUCUCAUUAACUAGGUGCACCUCAUGAACCUUGUUCAUUUCUCUCUCGUUGAAAAAACAUCUCUAAGUUUUUUUUUUUUUUUUUUAAAAAGUGUCUAACCUUGAAUUUGUAUCUCAACCAUCCAAAUCUUUGUAAUAUAAUUGGAUUUUACUUUUUUUUAUUUUUUAUAAAUCACUUUAUAAUAUUCGCUUCUUACCGUUUAGGGGUUAAAAUUAAACUGUUAUAUCCAUAUUCUUGAAGUCUAGUUAUACUUAAACUUUAAUCCAACAUAUAUAUAUAUAUAUAUAUAUAUAUAUAUAUAUCAAAAGACAUCCUAAUAUCCAAAAAUGAAAAAUGCUAGCAAGAUUACACUUUUAUAUCACAUGAUGUGGCAAGUAAUCUGUACAUGACACGUCAAUUAAUGGUUUUAUCCCAUUAACUAAUGAUUACAUGAAUCAUUUACCACAUCAUGUAAUGUGGUAUAAAUAUAUGGUCUACUAGCAUUACUCUAUUCAAAUAACAUGCAAAACUUUUGCGAUUGAUAUCCUUUAUUUUUUUAAUUACAAAAGGUGUUGUUAUUGACACUAAAAAAAAAAUCAUCCUACACUUCUUAUAAGUAUAUAUAUAUUUUUUUUAUAAAUAUAAAAAGUUAAUUUGACUCUCACAAUGACCUUUGUCAAUAAUAUAUAAAAAUAAACAUUUUUUCUCAAUAACCUUUUGGAGAUAUUUUUAUAAUGCAGUUCAUGAUUGAAGUGGAAAUUGACUACCGCUUAUAUUUGAAUAUUUCUAUCAUGCAGUUCGUAAUUCAUGAUUGAUGUCAAUAAUUUUUUUUUAUAUUUGUAUGGCUUUUUUAAUUUAUUAUUAGUAAGGAGAGAGAGAGUAUUCGAAACUAUUAUAAUAAUUUAGGAGAUGGAGAAUUUUGAACCGGCUAUAAUGCAUGUGUGAAAAUCCAAUAUCAUGCCUACUAAAAUAUUAGAUUACGUGCAUAUUUGUAUGACUUUGAGUAUUCGUCCAAAUUAUUGAAAUGGACUACUGCUUUGUUAAUUAAUGCAGUUCAUGAUUACUUGAAAUUGUUGGUUUCAUGGUUUGUAUGACUUUUGAGUAUUCGUCCAAAUUAUUGAAAUGGACUACCGCUUUGUUAAUUAAUGCAGUUCAUACUGGCUUGAAAUUGUUGGUUUCAUGGUUUGUAUGACUUUGAGUAUUCGUCCAAAUUAUUCAAAUGGACUACCGCUUUGUUAAAUUAAUGCAGUUCAAGAUGGCUUGAAAGUGUGUGGCUUGAUGGUUUGUAUGCUCUCGAUUUUAAAUUAAAUUUUAGGAUAAAUUAUACAAAAUUACUUCAAUUAUAGGUCAAAUCACAAUAUCAUAUCCCAUGUUUAAAAACUACAAUGUCAUACCUUAUCUUACAAAUUUGUUGCAAUGUCAGACCUCUGUCACUUUUUUCUGUCAAUUUAUCUAUUAAAUGAUGAUGUUGCUUGAGACGGAGCCCACUUUCUUGUCCAACUAGAUAAAAAUAUUAAUUAAACAUUUAAAAAAAUUAAAGAUAAAAUUAAUUAAUAUUUGAUUAAAAAAUGGGACCCACCCCUUACCAUCACCGUCAUGCCUCACCUUUCUUCUUUCCCAGUUCAUUCGUCCCCCCUCCCCAAGAUUAAAUGUAAUGACCCAUUCCCAAAUAUUUUGGAUUUUAUAAUUUUAAAGCAUGAAUUUAAGAAAAUGCCCUUCGGGGCAAAAACGUUGACUUUUGUUGCCACCUUGUCAUGUCACAUGAGAUUCAUUUCCUUGGCGUAUCCUAAUAGUACUCAUCGCUACGAACACGCGGGCGCAAAAGGAGUUGAAAUUGGAUCUAAAACGUGAUUUUGUGGUUAGGUGUGUCGAUUGGAAGUGGCCUCGUCCUCCCUAGUUCAAGCGGUUCCCCGGUAACAAAAUAACUGUGAGUAGACCCCUUCUUAAAUUGCAUGUUGUUAUAAAAUAUUAAGCUAGCAUUCACGAGAAGCAUGAUUUUACAUUUUAUAAAAUAACAGGUUAUGGGUCAACUCGUUAAUGAGUCGGAUCAUUAUCAGGUCACCCAUUAAGAACCCCUUCACAAGUCGGGUCAUUACCGGGUCAUCCGUUAAGAACUCGAUAAGAUAUCGUUUGUGAGAUCUAGACAUAACAUGUUCGUUUAUUGCAUGACCCAUUAACCUAAUACAAAACGACACGAUCAAUUAACAAAUCUGGUCAUUAUUGGGUCACCUAUUAAGAACACAAUAAGAUAACGAGUUUGAUACAAUAUAACUCAUUAAGAUAACGGUCUACGAGAUACCAUAAAACUAAUUAAUACUAACUAAGGACUUUGGACCCUUCUACUCAAACAUCAACUUCAAACAUCAACUUCGUCCCUUUUCAUCUUGUUAGAUACGGCCCCACUCCAAUAAGGACUUUGGCCUUUUCCUUCAUAUUAGGUGGAGUCCUAAUUUAACAAGGUCUUGGAUGGAUUUAACUAGACCAUAAGGCUGUGGACGUGCUCAUCCCUAGUCAGCCAUAGUUGUAUUUAGUGUUUUAUUUAUUCUACUUGGUUGUUGGUGUCAAAACUCAGACAGAAUCUGAAUUAGAUUUAACACGCAUUUGCUUCGAAUAUUGUUUUCGAUCUCAGUGCCAUGAGAUGGUUCAAGAGAAAAAGUGAACAAGCAUGCCACUGUUGUAGGCAGUUAACAGACAAUGUUUGCAUUUAAGUGUGUAAAAAAUGCACGUUAAUCUAACUUCAUAGCCAAAUGAUUGUAACCAAAGUAAGACCCUAGUUUGGUAAAGUUAUUUUCUGUGUCUUGAGUGAAAGAGGGCUUAAAAUUCAAUGUAACUUCAUGUAUACUUGCCUAAAAUGUAAAUGAAAAUAGAAACUAAAUUGAGAAACAAAAUGUAAUCAUUUCAUGAUAAAGUCAAGAUUAAAAACAUUCACAAAAGUUAAAUUUAAGUUGAUGGGCUAAGUUAAAUGUCUUGAAACGUAGACUGACGAGAAAUGUAAUGCUAGAGAAGUCCAUCGAGAUCACUGGUGUCAAAUUGAACUUAUUUUAAAAUAUGCACCUUAGAGAGGAAAUCAGGGUGAAAAGGAUUGCACAUCAACUAAAUCAUACCACAAGGUGGCCAAGCUGUAAAAGUUUUAGAUCUCAUGGAUCAUAUGCAAUGUUUGAUUUGAAGAAGGAUUUGAGAUUGUAACUCAAGAGCUAAGAAAGUUCUUGUUAAAGGGAAAUUCAACUCAUGCUAAAAAGCAGUUAGGUUGAUUGAAGAAUCACAAAAGCUUUUGUUUAAUCGUUGGGAUUGAAUUUGACGAAGGUCCUGAUGGCGUUAGUGACAUCAGCAUAUCGGAUGACUCAUACGUGUGCAUUUAAUGGAGCAAAAUACUUUUGGUCUUUGGUUGUCUACGUGGCAGAUGUCAAGCCUCGAUCUCGGGAUACGUCCAGGAUUGGCACAUGACGCCACAACGUACUUGUUUAACUAUCUUGCCUUACUUCUGAGAUAUGACCAAAACUAAACCAACGUUUCAACAACGUAAUACCAUUUCCUCUUACUUUGUGUUUGCAUUUAACGUUUAUGUUAGACUUCCUACGUACAAUAAGACAGGAUCAAGCCAUUCAUAGGUCACCAUUUUAUUUAGCUCCAAAAUUUAUCAUGGCAUUAACUGGCCGAAAACAUAGAGUUCUCCUAAUGUGAGUGAUGCUCCAAUAUAUCAUUUAAUUUUCCACAUAUAUCAUAUUUUUUUACCAACAAUAAUUCACAUUUUAAUGAACCAAAGAUGCACAAUAUUAAUGUUUAACCACAUUAAUGAAUAAUAAGAUCAAAUAUCAUUUCACGAAAGUUAAAUAAAGCCAACCUCUGUAUUUCUCUAUGUAGAUUCCAAGAAAUAUUACGGUAACUUCAAGUUACAAAUACAAGAGAACACCUUUGAGAAACUCUUAUUCAUUAAUUCAUACAAAGGAGGGUUUUCUAACAUUGCAACGAAUUCAUAAGUUGAUGUAUGACAUUGCAAUGUUUAAAACAUGAGGUAUGAGAUUGUGGUUCGACCCAAAGUUGAAAUAGUUUGGUGUAAUUUACCUAAAAACUUUUGACAUUGUUCUGUGCAAUGUAUUUUUUACAAUUUAACUACUUUACACUAGUAAAAAAAAAAUACACUUUGCGCGACGUCGGUAGCUUCGUCACACAAAGUCAAAAAUCGUUGCCUAAGGGUUUGCGCGACGCAACCUCUUCGCACGCUAAUCGUCAUGCCAAGGCAGUGAUGGUAGGGUUUGCACGACGCACGUCCUACCAUGCAAAGUGGCUUUGCGCAACGAACGACGCGCAAAGUGAGGGCGUAGUUUUGGCCAUUUUUUUUUAUUUUUUGAUAAAUAUUGUAAUUAAAUUCUUAAGAAUAAUUAAUUAACCAAGCAAAAGUAUUUAAUUGUAAAAUAUAUGAAAAUGUACAUACAAGAUGUUCGAACAAAAAAGAAAAAACUACAAGUGAACUAGGCUUAAUACAUUAGGCUACUAGGUAACGGCAGGGUAAGGUGGCUCUGAGGUCGAAGGUGGAGCAAGAUGAGAUGUUGGUAGCGAGAUUUGGAGGCCGGACAUCUGUAUGGCUUGUACAAGGUCUUUCACCAUCCCGGCAUAGGUCCUCAUCUCCUCACCCUGGGCCAUCAGCUGCACCCUCAUUUGCUCUUCCGAAAUUGAUGAUGUCGAUGAGACGGGCACCUAGGACGCCAUAGAAGUAGCCUCAACAAGGGGUGUAGGCUCCCUAAUCAAUGGAGCACUCACUGCUGGAGCAGUAGAUGCUAAUAAUGAGGGAGGCGCAUUGGUCACACUCUGACGACGAGUGAUCAACUGCGACAUCUAUACACUUUUUGAACUAUAAAAAUAUAACAUUAGAAACUAAUCAUUUCUUGCAUUUGAAACUAGAAGAAAAAAGCAAAGAAAAUUGAACAAAUAAGCCAUGUGUGAAAAAAGCAAAGAAAACUGAACAAACAUUAACCAAAGAUUAAAAAGUGUAAUGAAUCCAAGGCAGCAUGAUUGAUUAAAAAGAGUCAAACCUAAAAAGAGUUAACUUGUGACACCUUGAUGCUUCACUGUUACAUAUACCCCACAUAAUAUAUGCAUCAAAACUCUAAGUGACAGAAGCACAUUUUUACCCCCACAAGUGAUAAGGACUCCCCACCAAAUUCCAGAAGAAUUUGCAAAUUAUGACCCGGAUUUAGAGUCCAUGAAAUGGAAAAUGGAAAAUGCAAAAACCAAAGAGAUAAAGUAAUGAACAGUUCUUUUGCAUAAAACAAAUGAAAAAGAAAAUGUAAAGUCAAUUAAAAAAACUGAGAGAUAAAGUAAUCAAAACCAAUAUAUAGCACAUCCCAGAUACAUGGUUUGCAAGAAAAUGCACUAUGUUCUGUUAAGGUUGAAUCAAGCCUGAACAACCAGAAAAUUGAGCAAACAUACAACAUAUUUUGUGAUUUGUAGACUAAGAGAAAAUAAAAGUGAUACUUACAAGAAAACAAAUGUGAUACUUACAAGAAAACAAAUGUGAUACUUACACGCCUCAUCUAACCCAACAUUUGAGUUCUUUCGAUGGGUGAAAUGCAUCACUCUUUGAGGAAACACCCCCGCCCCUCCCCACCAUGCAUAAAUAGUAAAACAUUACCAUUUUAAGAAUCCCACAAAACCCACAACCAACUCAACUCUGCAUUCAAAUAACACAUCUAUCUUUUUCUUUUGGCACAUUAAUAUAUCAUCUUUUACAUGGUCUUUUAAAGUGGUGAUUAAAGAUCAGUAAACUUCAAUUGCAAGAGCAUUAAGUCGAGCAGAUGGUGGACCUGAAUAGAGGAGUAGUAGUUUCGUAUAAUUACCCAAUAAUCCAACUCAAUCAAAGUUGUUGAGGCAUUUCGUCAAACAGGUUAGGGACAACAAUUCAGCAUAGACAAGUCCAUGGAGGAUUAUGUAAAUGACCAUAUGAGUACAUAUCCAGAACACAGAAAAAUACUCAAAAACACGUAAAAUGUAGAUGAAAGCAUAUAAUUAUUUAAUUACUACUUAUGAAGUUUAGCAGUUGAAAGCAAAAACCAACACAAAUCAUACAUCCUAGGCGUUAUUCUUGAAGAAACUGAUUGGUCUGAGAUAGGUGAGAGAAUAUGCCAAAGAGGGAGAUGACGGUAGAUUGUAAUCCUAAGGAUUAGGGUUUCUCUUCGUCCACUCGACUUUUUGAAAUACUCCAGUAGCUGGAAGUAAAUCCAAGAACAGGACCUUGAAGCAUAUCCCCUUCGAGAGUAUGAACCAAAGCAAAAGAUGGAAUCCAAUUCUGGAUGCAAUUAGAUUUCAACCCCUAAAUUUCAAGCCCUAAAUUAAAUUUCAACCUCUAAACCCUCAGUAUACAGUAUACUUUAUCUUCCAAGUACUAAAUUUCACAAACCCUAAUCUAGAAUUCCAUCCCUAAAUUAAAUUUACCUGAUUUGGGGGAGAAUCGGUGCACAGUGAGGUGAGGGAUGAUAGGUGAGUCACUUGUCUGAUGUGGGAGGAUGAGAGAAAUCGGCGAGGAGGGUGAUGUUGAGAGAGAGAGUGACUGAGUGAGGGCGAGGAGGGUGAGGUGAGGGUCUAAGAUUAACGAGAGCGAGAGUGCCUUAGUGAGGGUCCAAACUUGGGAAGGUAGAGAGAGAGUCUAAGAUUAACGAGAGGAAGAAAGAGUUGGGCCAAACUUGGAAAUUUGAAAAAAAAAAAAACGAAUUUUUUACUAUUGUCCCGCCAAAAUUAUCACAACUGACGCGAUAUAGGUAUACAAUUUCACGUUUGCACGACAACCACAUUAAGGCGUCAUGUAAGGUAUUUUUUUUUUUAAAUUAUUAUAAAAAUUACUGAAAAUGUGACUUUCUUCCUUUCAAAUUCGAUUUUUUUUUUACAUAAAUCCCACAAUAAUUUUUUUUACAUACAUACAUAUAUAUAUAUAUAUAUAUAUAUAUUAUUAUUCAAUUUCUUAAGUGUUAUAAGUACAAAAUAAAUAAAUUAAAAUAUAGUUAGUAAAUAUAUGUACCAUUAAACUUGAUGGGAAACGCAUUGUACGAAACUAGUUUCAAAGAUCCAACCAUCAAACUUGUUUGUAUAUGCUUCGAGAUCGCAUACGCCAAAAAUCGCAAAAAAACAAAUGUAGAGAUCAAGUAACUGGACAAAAAUUUUCGACAGUUAUAAACGAAAAAUCCCAAUUUAACGGUUAUUUUAACUCCGAUUUUGAUGAUUUUUUUACAGCUACACUCCUUGACCCUAUAUGAAUACAACGAAUUGAUUCGAUCGUCAAUUUAAAAUAUUUACACAAGUGAAUACCACAAAAGAAAAAUGUUAUACUUAAUGAAAGUAUAAAUAAACUCCAAGUGUUAGUAAAUAUACUGUUUUGAUGGGAUACACAUUGUACGAAACUAGUUUCAACGAUCAAACCGUCAAACUUGUUUGUAUAUACAUUGAGAUCGUAUACGCCAAAAAUCGCAAUAAACAAACAUGCAGAGAUUAAGUAACGGCACAAAACUUUUCGACGAUUAUAAACGAAAAAUCCUGAUUUAACAGUUAUUUUAACUCUGAUUUUGAUGUUUUUUUACGACUACACUCCUUGACCCUAUAUGAAUACAACGAACUGAUUCGAUCGUCAAUUUAAAAUAUUUACACAAGUGGAUACCACAAAAGAAAAAUGUUAUACUUAAUGAGUAUAAAUAAACUCCAAGUGUUAGUAAAUAUAUUGUUUUGAUGGGAUACGCAUUGUACGAAACUAGUUUCAACGAUCCAACCGUCAAACUUGUUUGUAUAUACGUCGAGAUCACAUACGCCAAAAAUUGCAAUAAACAAAUAUGCAGAGAUCAAGUAACGGCACAAAACUUUUCGGCUGUUAUAAACGAAAAAUCCCGAUUUAACGGUUAUUCUAACUCCGAUUUUGAUGUUUUUUUACAGCUACACUCCUUGACCCUAUAUGAAUACAAUGAACUGAUUCGAUCGUCAAUUUAAAAUAUUUACACAAGUGGAUACCACAAAAGAAAAAUGUUAUACUUAAUGAAAGUAUAAAUAAGGGUAAAUUACAUAGUAGCCCCUCAAAUUUGAGAUCUAUUACAAUCGCAUACAACAACUUCAAAACAUUUCACUUUCAUACCUCAAUUACUAUUUUAUUUCAAUAUAGUACCUCCGUUACAUUUUCCAUCCAUUAAUCUGUUAAAUGCUGAUGUGGCUGCCACAUAUAUGCCACCUGGCUGCCAAAUGUUUGCCACGUGGCAAAUAAAAUUUUUUUUUUAAACCUUAAUUUUCUCAACAAAAAAAAAAUUGAAUCACCCCUCACCCACCCCCCCCAGCGACCUCCCUAGAAACUUGCAACAAGAAGAAGAAGAAGAGAGGAUAAAAAAAAAGAGAAAAAAAAGCCGAAGAAGAAGAAGAAGGGAAAAAAAAAGGGAUACCCAUAUCCCUCACCCCUCCCUACCCAUAAUCCAUUCCUGAGUCUCUCUCGGAUCUCUCACUCUUCUCUCUCACUCUUUCACUCUCUAUCUUUCUCUCAGACUCUCUACCCGACAGUGCACCCACGCACGCACCCAUUUACAUAACCACACACGCACCGACGACACACCACCACCAUUGAGCUUCAAAAUCCCCGGCGGGAAAUCCGACUUGAAGUCGUUGUGGCUGAUGUUGAGGAUCUUGAGGUUGUAGAGCUUGAAAAUGGGGGGCUGGAGAGGGUCGUGGAAGGCGUUGCCGCUCAAAUUGAGGUGGAUUAGUGAAGAAAGGCGGCGGAUUUGUGGUGGGAUUUGGCCGAAGAGGUUGCAUGGGAGAGGUCGAGGGAAACAGAGGAGGAAAUAGAAGGUACUUUCAUGGUUUUUGGGGUGUGGGGAAGGUGCUGGGUGAGAGUGAGAGUGAGAGGAAGAGUGUGUUGGGAAAUUUAAGGGAAUUGGGGUCUUGAUGGCUGCUUCUGGGUUUUCUAAGGGGAUAGGGUUUCGGCGACUGGGGGGAAGAGGUGGGAUCUAGGUUUUCUAAAGGUUUUUGUUUUUUUUUUUUUUUUGGAAGAUUGAGGUUUUUUUUUUUAAAUUAAAAAUUAUUAUUUUUGCUACGUGGCAGCCACAUCAGCACAAAUGUGGCAGCCACGUCAGCAUUUAACAGACCAAUAGAUGACAAAUGUAACGGAUGUAUUGUUUUGAAAUAAAAUAGUACAUGAGGUAUGAAAGUAAAAUGUUUUAAAGAUAUUGUAUGAAGUUGUAAUAAACCUCAAACCUUAGGGGUUAUUAUGUAAUUUACCCUAUAAAUAAAUUCCAAGUGUUAGUGAAUAUAUUGUUUUGAUGGGAUACACAUUGUACGAAACUAGUUUCAAUAAUCCAAUCGUCAAACUUGUUUGUAUAUACGUCGAGAUCGCAUAUGCCAAAAAUAGCAAUAAACAAACAUGCAAAGAUCAAGUAAUGGAACAAAACUUUUCGACGGUUAUAAACGAAAAAUCCCAAUUUAACGGUUCUUUUAACUCCGAUUUUGAUGAUUUUUUUACAACUACACUCCUUGACCCUAUAUGAAUACAACGAACUGAUUUGAUCGUCAAUUUAAAAUAUUUACACAAGUGGAUACCACAAAUGUCUUUUGCACAAAGCCACCUUCGUCGUGCAAAGUUCCGUUGCGCAAAGGACAUUUGAGCGAUGUUUUGUGUUUAGCAUCGCGUAAACACACUUUUCGUGACGAAAUUUGCUCCAUUGCACAAAUUUCCGUCGCGCAAAUAGAUUUUUGUACUAGUGUUAUUUGUCAAACUGGAAGAUAUCAUGGGUCGUAUAACUGAUGUGCACAUUUGAAGCCCAAACAAGUUAAUCAAAGAAUCAAACCUAAGUGUGACAUAGUGAUUCAAAACAUUAGGUUAUUCCUUCCUUCUUAUUGCUUGACAAAUUGUUUAUUAUAUUGUUUUAUCUACAUUGCAAAAUAUUAAAACGUUGUCUUUAUCAAAGAAUUGUUUGAUGCUUACAUUGUUGGCCAACUCUCUUCCUCAUAGCUUUCUUAAUACAAUUUCUCUCACAAAAAAUAAGAGCUGACAGUUACGCUGUGGCCAGAUGUUGCUCGAAAUUUUGCUUCUUUGUCAAUUGAAGCAUUGUGUCACAGCCCGUCCCGGAGAUAUGUAUUAUUUUAUUCUCGAGGACGUGAAAGGACGGUUUUAUCCUUAGACGUUGAAAUUGUAGUGUAUGUGUGUGUGCAUAUUUUGGUACUUGGAUGUCAUGUUCUUGGUUGGUUGGUGACCAUGUGGGACACACACACACACACACAAACCUCAUUCUCUCUCUUCUCUCCCGUGCUUUCUCUCUCUCUCUCUCUCUCUCUCUCCUCCUUCUUCGUACGGACGACACCCAAAACCCAUUGAAACGUGACAGAUCGAGGGUGUGAAGCACACCAUUGUGUUCAUGAGGACCAUACGAGUUCAAAUGUACCAUUUUCAGGUAAGAACACCUUCGAAAUCACGUGAAAACUCAAACCUCGAAUGAGGUAUUGUUUAUGCACUAAUUGUUGUGAGGUUUUUAGGGGAUUUCAAGCUCAUAGGGAGCUUUAGAAGGCUGUCACGAAGCUCGGGGUGUAUCGUUUGAGUGUUUUGGACGUCGGGAUAGUGAGUCUCAACCUUGGCUGGUUUUUCUAGAAUUUUCCUGGCGAGAUCCCGUGGUUUUUUAGGCUUGAAAGAGGUAUAAACUUAUUCUAUUCUUCAUGAACUUCAUUUUGGCAUAAAGAUCGUGAAAAAUGGUUCAAAAAUGGCCGAGAUAUCACGGUUUAAAAUUUUUCCAGUUUUCUAGUGUCAGCGACGGUCAUCGGAGUUCAGAGGUAGGAGACGACGGAAUCUUCCGUCAAGUCUAACGAAAUAUUCCGAUGUCGUCAGUUAGUUUGGACGGAUUCCGUUAGGAUUUAACAGAAUAUUCCCGAUAUAUACCUGACGGCUUUGACUGACGCCGUCAGUAUGCCUGUCACGUGGCCGCUUGUGAGGGCGAGUAUUGCCGUGCCUUGGCCGGUGCGUGGGUGGUCAAAAAAUUAUUCUAAGAAUAUGGGGAUGUUCGUGGAGUUGUGUAGAUCACGUUGGUAUAUUCAAACACCCCAUUUGAGCAUUGUAUGAGAAGUUAUUAGCUAAUUUUGCCUAUGUGCUUUAAAUAACGUUUUUAUAGUUAAUUCGCAUAUAGGUGAGACUUAUCUCAAGGACGAGCGCGUUCAAGGGCGACUCGGGGGCUACGACCCUUCGACAUACCAAUGAGUGGGCUUUUGGUUUUCAAUAUAUAUUUAUAUACUUGAUAUUUUCCCAUAAAUAUGUGUUUAAAUGAAAGUAUGCCUUAAAUGUCAUGCAUAUGAAUUUAUAUUUCGUAUAUGAAUUGGUAUAUGAUGCAUUAUAUAUAUAAUUGUGGUGUUGUGGAUGCUCAGGUAAGCUCAGGUGAGUUAUGUUUGGUUAUGUGAAUUAUCAAUGGUGCGAUAUGUGAUUGAAUAAUGUUGAGCUCAUAGAACUACACCUAGGGUGAUUGUGAUUUAGCCAGAGAUAUGGCAGGCCUAUUUAUUAUGUCACCUCUCGCACCAUAUGCUCAUAUUGGAUCCAAUUUAGGUGCACAGUCCUAUCGUAUAGACCAUCUUAGGUGGUUCUGACUCGUAGGUGACUAGCGAUUUAUCGCCCAACUAUUAUGUGUGAGUAGUAUUGAGCAUGAUUAUAUUACACCCAUUAUUGUCGUACAUACCUUUUCAUUUGGUUCCGACUCUUGUGCAGUAUAAUGCCGUAUAGGUCAUUGUAGUGACUCCGGCUAGAUUGACUUUUGAGCUAUGAAUUCAGCCGUACAGACUACCAUAAGGGUUCUGGCUAACAUGUUAUAUUUAUAUGAAAUUAUUCUCACCUGAAUUGCUUACUUUGUUAUAUCUUGGCAUAGCAUACAUAUGAAUAUGAUAUUGUGAAGCAUGAUUUGAAUUAAUAUAUUUACAUAUAUAUUUAUGUAUAUGCUUAUCUUCUGAUUCUAGGAAAAAUUAUACAUGUUUUAUAGCGAGGGGUUAGAAAUGUUGAUAAAUGAAAUGGUUUUGUAAAACAUUUGUUUUUGCCCACUCACGUUUUCUGUUUUGCGCCCCUCUAGGUUUUAGGUAAGCUUGCUAUCGGUGGCCUUGAGGAUUUCGGCGGUUCUGACCUAUCAAAAUAAUUGUGGGACAUCUUAUGGUACUGUAUGAUUAGUAUUUGUCCUACAGGACUGCACCUAAACUUUCUAUGCUCUGAUUAGGAGUAUUUACUUUUGUAUCUUACUCCUAACACUUCUCGCUUUCUAGUGCACUCUAGUAGUUUCGAUUUUAAUUAUUCGUAUAUUUCUUAUCCUUAAUGCUUCCACACUGUGCACAUGUCUACGUCACCCUCAAGUGACGGCCAGCAUGCCUUGAUCUUGGUCGGGGUGUGUCACAUUGUCUCUGCCGAUUGUCGUGAUUUUUACAAGUUUAAAAGUCUAGAUGUUCCCAGGUAUUUAAUUUAAGGGAGACUUUAGAUGCGGUCCCUAGUUAUGAACAAUUUUUGACUGAAACCUUGUUGUUUUUCAAUUUUUGAUCCAAGUCCCUAAAAUUAAUUGAUAAUUUAUUUCUAUGUACGUUACUAUAUUUUUUAAAUUAAAAAUUAAAAUUUAUAGUUGUUUAUAGUAAUGAGAUUUUAAAUAAAAAACCAUAAUUUGUGGGAUUAAAAAUAUUAAAAUAUAAAUAUACUAUUGUGUGUGUGUGUGUGACACGUAAACAUGGGUACAUUCAUAAAAAAUAACCAAAAAAUUAUUGUAUCAAAACAUGGGUACAUUCUUCAAAAUGGGUACAUUUAGCAAAAAUAAAAAUGGGUACAAAUAAAUAAAAAAAUAUGGGUACAAUACAAAUAAAACUUUAAAAAAUAUGGGCACAAAAAGAAAUUAAUAUAUGGGUACAAAUUAAAAUUGAAAGGAAAAUUGGUACAAAUUAAAAAAGGGUUGCAAAUUAAAAAUGGGUACAAACUAAAAAUAAAAAUAUAUAAUAAAAAAUUUAGCCAUAAAUAUAAAUAUACUAAUUGUAACAUUUUUAAUAUUAAAUGAAUAUAUUUAGAAAUAAAAAAUAUUUUAUUAUUGAAAUAAUUAAUGAUAUUAUUAAUACAAAGGACUUUGAUCAAAAAUUGAAAAGUAAUAAGGUUUUAAUCAAUAGAGUAGUAAAAAUAAGGAUGAAAACCUAAUUACUCCUUAAUUUAAUUAGAAACUACUCUGUUUACUAUUAAAGUUUUUUAUUAUAUUCAAAUAAUAUCUAAUACAUGCUCUACUAAUAUUUUCUUAACAUGUUGGCCAAAUAAAUUCACUUGUUUUGAUCACUUUUUUACAGCAUUUCACAAAAGUAAGUUUAGUUGAAUUUGCUUGCCAGCUCGUUUUCUGCAUGUAUACACACCAAUUAAACAAUGGUGUUAAGACUAUUUCCUAUCGCUCUUAGUAUAUGUUUGAAAAUUUCGUAACAGCAUUUCAUUUAAAGGCAAGCAUUUUGCUGAAAUUGCAUCACAACUCUUCUUCUGUAUGUAUGCACACAAAUAAAACAAUGCUUUUCAAUUGUUUUAUCACUUUCAAUAUUUAUUUUUUUUACAAUUUGGUAAACAGAAAAUUAGAACAUCAUUCAUUUCGCAGGAAAUCAGUGACUUGAUUAAAAGCUAAUCUGUUUGCUAUUGUUUUUUUUUUUUUUACAGUGUUUUCAAUAAAUAAGUGUAAGUGUGUUUGAUCGGAUCAUAUUUAUAUAUAUUUUUACUUCGAAUUCACUCGUCUUUUCUUAGUUAGUUCUUUAUAUUUUUGAGCUAUUUACGUUAUUUUUGUGUUUAUAAGAUUUGUUAUGUUUUGUAGAAAGAAUAAAGAAAAGAAAAGAAAACGUGAAAAACAACAGGAAAACAAAAGAAGAAUAAAAUAAAAGAAGAAAAAGGCAGAAAGGGGGGUGAAAGGAAUCCAAGAGAAUUGAGGAUGGGAAGGAGCUGCCCUUUUGCAGCUGGCAACCUUGACUGACGGGAAGGUUAGGCGUGAAAGAAAAGAGAAUAAAAAAUUACGAGGGGGAUAGAAAGGAGAGGGACACGAAAUAGAAAAAAAAAAUAAGGUUGGCGUGAUUGGUGGGGGGCAGCCCUGCUGCCAGAAGCAGAAAAGGAUAUAAAAAAUAAAGAAACAGAAGAAACGGGAGGAAGGAGAGCAGCACGGACAGGGGGGAGCUGCCCUUUGGGCAGCUUGACAAGAUAUCACGGGACAGGGAAGAGAUCAGGAGAAGAAGAAAACGCUGCCUUGGCAGCGUGAGAGAGAGGACAGAGAAGAGGACUGACGCAGAGAGGAUGUCAGGCGGAAAAAUAAAAAAAGGCAGAACAGAAGAAGGACAGGGAGGACGGGGCAGCAGAACCGAAGGGGGAAAGGAGGAGAGACGGAAAGAAGAAAAUAAAAAGAGAAAGGCUGCUUUGUGCAGGAGGUCAGACGGGAGAGCGGGGAGAGAGACAAACACAGAAAACUGUGCGGACAGAAAAGCAGCUCGCAGGGCAGAAGCACAGAAACGCAGCAGAUCUUAUUUUCUUGGUUUUAUCUUCUCAAACUCAUGUUUUACUUUUGGUUUAAUUUGAUAAUAAUGUGUAACUAAUUUUAUUUUGGCUAGAGGUUAAUUCAAAGCCAUGAAUAUAUUUGUAAUAUGAAUUGAUUACCUUCAGUUGUGAUUUCUGAGUUGUGAUUUAAUUUGCUUAACUGCUUGAUUGAUAACUUAUUUUUGUAUGUCGAUUAAGGAUGCAUACUUAAUUUACAUGCAUGAAUUUGAUGCUAGAAUAUAAGUGAAUUUCACCUAAUUGUUAUGAACUUAUAUUCACAAGUAGUGAAGGUUGUUAUCCACAAUCGUGUUAAGUGAAUUCUUGGCAAGAGUAUCAUGCUUUUCAUAGUUACGAAUGCCUCGUCAAUGCUUAUAGUUUUCACAAAGUCUAAUGAUCUUUGAUUGUAUCUCUAUUGUGCUUUUCACGUAGAGGACUUUUGAAGAAUGUUUUGAAUUGUUGUAUGCGUUUUCCCGUCCAAUUCAAUAACUUAAGGAAAACUAGAAGAUUAAAAAAGUGCUGUUCACGGUUAAUCUGAAGUGUUGAGAUUCACAACUUAUUGAAAGAACAACUGAAAAUCAAUUUAGGUUGCAUAUGUGUCAUGUGUGGAGAAGAACCCUCUAGCUAAUCCAUCACCUAUCAUUUCACCUUAAUUUCAUGUUUUUGUCAAUUCUGUAAUUUAUUUAAGUUUAAUUUACUUCUCGUCAAAACCAAACCCCCCAUUAUUAAAUUAUUUUAUUUAGUUAGUUUUCAUUGUUGUUAGUCUUUUAAUUCAAUUUCCGUCCAUUGCAGUUCCUAGUGUCUAAUUUGAUUGUUUUCAUUAUUUUGAGUCAUCCUAAGUGUGUUUCGAGUUAUUAGAGUUUUUAGCCUAGUUUUGUGUCCUUGAGUCUUAUUUAAUAUUUUUAAAUUAAUUUAGAAUAGAUUAGCAAUCCCUCCUAAUCCCCGGCCUAGAACGAUACCCUACUUACAUCUAUACUACAAUUGUCAAAAAGAGGGUUUAAUUUUGUGUGUUAACUUAUUUUUCACAUCAGUGUUUACAGCUUUUUUAUAUAUAAAAAAAAUUGUUAUAUGCUCUUACAAUAAAAUAAAGGGAACUUUAACGAAAAGCUUCCGGUACUGUUCACUUUAACGAAAAACCACAUUUUUACACUAAAAAGUCAAUCCUGGUACUAUUCACUUUACCCUUUAUUUUGUCCUUAUCAUUAAAACUCAAAGUUUUCAAGCUCUUUUCAUUAGUUUUCCUUAAAAUAAAAGCAAUUCUCAGAAAAUGUAUGAACUAAUGUACUGUUUUAAACUCUGCAGCUUUUCCAAGUGCACAGAGCCUCUAAAAAUACUAGCACCCUCUACAAAACAAGACAGUGAAGCUCAAACCUUACAAACAGCAAAGAAAGUCACAAUUGAAGAGCUAGCCCUUUUAGAUCCGGAUUUAUACAAAUUUGUUUAUCUUAUGUUAAAAAUAUUGAUUGCAUGUUCACACAAUUGGUUAAAAAUAUUAUUUAUUAAUCUUGCUCAUCCAAAUCUUUGUUAAAUUACUUUAAACAACGAAAUAUUUCUCUACAAAGCAUCUGUCAAGCGAUUUGACACAUAAUACGAUUGGUGGUAUAAUGCUUGCCCAAACUGUGCCAAACAAAUGUACAAAAGAUCUAACAACUGGGCAACUGAUCUGCCAAAAACAUGCAAACCAACUACCAACUCCUUGGUAAUCUUUAACAUCUUAUGAUUAAAUUUUAUCACCUGUUGUGCAAAAUAUUUCUUACAUUGUUUUUUCUUUUUUGGUUGUCCCUUAUACUACUAUUUAUUGGCUAAAAUUGUUGGUUUGUGAUAAUUUUUAAAAUCUCAAUAUUAUACAAUUAAAAAUGCAUUGCUUCUUAUUAGUUAAAAUUGUUGCUGUCAUAACCUAUAAUAAUGUGACAACCUGUCCUUAAAAUUACGUUUUUAUUUAUUUUAAUCGAGGGAAUUGACGAAAAUGCCCUAGAGGCAAGGAUUUUGACUUCUGUUGACCAUCGUCUAGAGGAACGUAUGACUUAUUCUAUUGGCGUAUUUGUGUAGUGCUCGUUGGUAUGAAUGCAUAAGCGAAGGCUGUUCGCUAGUCCGGAUUGUAACGGUAUAGUUACAGACAUUUGAAAGUGGUUAUUUAUAUUUUAGUUUAUAAAUUAUUUGAACUCCCACCUUGUGGGAAAGAAGCCAAUAAGCUUCAAGGAUAGAUAAAGGAGAAACAAUCAGGAAGGGAGAAGGGGAAAAAAAUUAAAAAAUAAAUAAAAAUAAACCUUCCCGUCGGGCAAUGUACCCCCACACCCAAACCGAUCAAACUCCGACGAUUUUCGCCAUUUUUUUCGUUGAACCACUACCAUCCAACACUUGCAAAACACUUAGUGACCUUCCCUCUACCAUCUCCACCCAUAUUUGAGGGUUUUUAGGUCCAAAAUCAUGAGGAACCCCACCGGAGCACCGGAGGUGCUCGAUGGUGAUUCCUCCGAUCCGGCAAGUUUCACCACCUAAAACUACCCUUAAUCAACUUCCCUUGCACCCAGGAACAAGACCCAACAAGUGGUAGAGACGUUAGAACACCGAGGAAGGAGAAUCAAAGUUCACCCAUUUUAGGGUUCCGGCGGGUUUGAGUGAAAUUGGAGCCUUUCCCUGCCAAAUUGAACUUGGUCACAGGUAUAAAACUUGCUCUACUCUUUGAGAUCUUCAUUUCUGUAAAAUUUGAGAAUUUUUGGAGAUAGUUAAAUUUUUCGGCCAAUCAGGGUGGCGGACCGCCGUGUGCGGCGGCGCACGAGCCGAGUCACCCCCUGACCUUUCUAAGCUAAGUUUGACACGUCAAUUCCAUAGGUGAAGUCCGAUUGAUGAAAUCUCAUCAUUUGAACAUAGUUUUGAUAAAGACCGCUACUUGAACAUUAUGUGAAUCGAUGAUCCGACCGUUGGAUCGUCACCAAACUUUAAUAUUAUAGUAUGUAAUAUUUAAGGAUAUUAGAAACUUACGGAUUGGGAAUAUGAUGUACAGAUCUUCCCGAAUUGGAUUUGUAAUUUUGUAAAAUAAAACGUUGACCGCCACUUGAAUUGGCAAUUGACGGAGAUUCAACUGUUGGAUCGUAAUGAAACUUUAGUAUGAUGUUUUAGAAGCAUAAUGUGGAUAUUUGGAAGUUACAGAUCAGAAAUCCAAGAUGCGGAUCUUUUGGAUUGAGUUACGUAGGGUUGUGGACCCUACUGUUGAUCUUUGAUCGACGGUUGACUUUUUAUCAAUGGGUCUCAAAUCAUUCUAGAACGUCCUUGGGAUGUGUUUUAUGUAGGUUAUGUGUUCUAUUGAUAAGAGUUCUGAGACGUGACUGAAUAAUUGUUCUAGGUGAGGAUCGUUCGUGACGUCUCGAUGUUCGUGCUAGGGAGUCGUAGCGCGGACCUCAGGUGAGUGGGUCUUUUUUUUUUAUCGUAUGUAUAUCAUUGAUAAUUCCACAAACGAUUUUAAAUUGAUUUAUGCAUUUUAUGCCAUGUCAUAUAUAUAUUUGUAUAUUCUAAAAUACUAUGAUAUGGUUGAGUUUUAGAUUGCAUUAUGGUAUAACCAUAUGCAUAUUACCUACAUAUAAACGUUGUGAAUCCCUUGAAGUGCUAAGGUGAACGCAUGAUGUACAGGUAAGUUCAGGUGAGUUUAUGGUGUUAUUUGAAAUGAUUGAUUGAUGGCAUGACUAUAUUUAUAUUUUAUGCAACUUCGGCAUUGUCAUACAUGUUGCAAUGAUAGGCAACUCCGACAUUGUCGUACAUGUUGCAACAAUAGGCAACUCCGACAUUGUUGUACAUGUUGCAAUAAUAGGCAACUCCGACACUGUCGUACAGGUUGCCUAUAAGUCGUACAGGUUGUAUAGACGACACUGUCGUACAGGUUGCCUAUGAGUCGUACAGGUUGUAUAGACAACUCCGACUCAUUUGUUGCCAAUAUGUAGUGAUUUGGAAUAUCUUGAAUUUACUGUUGAUUUACAUUUGAUUUCAUACUUAUAUGUAGUAUGAUUUCCUGAACCCUAUACAGGUAUUACAACGAUGGGUUAUAUCUUUUAGAAGGUCUUUAUUAAAGCUUUAUUUUUAGGCCCACUCACUCUUGUUUUUAUCCCUCCAAUUUCUAGAAGCAGAGUUUUCGUAUCGACGAGGAUUCAUGGCAAGUCUUGGUAUUGAAGAUUACCUUCGAAUGUAUGAUUUUCAAUGACAUUGUUGUACAUGUUGCAAUAAUAGGCAACUCCGACAUUGUUGUAUAGGUUGCAAUAAUAGGCAACUCCGACACUGUCGUACAGGUUGCCUAUGAGUUAUACAGGUUGCAUUAGGCGACUCUGACUCAUGUGUUAUCAUAGAUUGAUUUAUGAGUCGUACAGGUUGCGUUAGGCAACUCUUGACUCAUGGGUUACCAUAGAUUGAUGAGCACUUGAUUUAUUAUAUUGUUGUCGAUAUGUAGUGAUUUGGAAUAUUCUUGGAUUUACUAUUGAUUUACAUUUGAUUUCAUACUUAUAUGUAGUAUGAUUUCCUGAACCCUAUACAGGUAUUAUAGCGAGAGGUUAUAUCUUUUAGAAGGUAUUUAUUAAAGUUUUAUUGUCAGGCCCACUCACUCUUGUUUUUAUCCCUCCAGGUUCUAGAAGCAGAGUUUUUGUAUCGACGAAGAUUCGUGGCAAGUCUUGGUAUUGAAGAUUACCUUCGAUGGUAUGAUUUUCAAUCCACUCUAUUGUACUUUACCUAUGCUCUGAUGUCACGUGUGAAAUGAGUUCAUUCCCGCUCACAGCGCACUCUCGUAUUUAGGCACUUUUAGGUUUAAAUUUAAGGAAAACUAAUGAAAAGGGCUUGAAAACUUUGAGUUUUAAUGAUAAGGACAAAAUAAAGGGUAAAGUGAAUAGUACUAGGUUUGACUUUUUAGUGUAAAAAUAUGGUUUUUCGUUAAAGUGAACAGUACCGUGGGCUUUUCGUUAAAACUCCCUUAAAUUUAUUCACAUUUUCCACAUCACUACACUUUAUGGCUUCGUCACCUUCUAGGUGUCGACCAACACAGUUCGAUUCGGAGCCUUAGUGGACAAUCUGGAUCAGGGUGUGUCAAUAAUGUGUUUUUCUUACCCAAAGUUUAAUUAUUGCUCUAUAAAAAAAUGAAAAACCUAUACAUCUCACUUUUAACAAUAUUAGAAAGUUCUAAGUUCAUAUUAGUUGACCAAAAUAUUGGUGUUAUGACAGAUUUAUAAAUCUGUGUUGUCCAUUUAUUUUUCAUGCCACAGAUUAAAUUAUCAAUCGGUGAAAACAAUACUAUGAGAAAACUAACUAUUUACUAGAAGUAUUCAGCAUUUGUUAUUUACUCAAACAGUUAUCCACCAUCUGGUAUAAUUUGUUUAAAUUAUUUUCUUUCACUAGUUUUCAUUAUUCUUUUUCACUUACGGUUACCUCAUAUCAAUUGAUUUUAAAGCUAUGUUAAUCAAGAAAAACUAAACACUGAACAGUAUUUGUCAGUAUUUGUCAAUAUAUGAAACAAAUUCUUUUCUUCCAUCAGUUUUCAUUAUUAUUUUUCACUUACUUCAUAUCAAUUGAUUUUAAAGCUAUGUUAAUCAAGAAAACUAAACAGUGAACAGUAUUUGUCAAUACAUUUUCUUUCGCUUUGCUCAAGAAAUAUAUAUCUGAUGAUCAAUCUUAUUUAAUUUAAACUUUUAUCCGUAGGUACAAACUAUACUUGGUCCUCGAGGACGAAACCAAUGACAUGAACGCUUUGAUUAUUGGUAAAUCUGGUGAGAAACUCUUUGGCACAAGUUGUAAAGACUUGGUGAUGAGGACACUCAAACAAACAAACAAAUACAAGUACAAACUCUGCUCAAGCCAGAUUUGCUUUCAACGAAGCUGUAGUCAGCCCAAGCCUUCAUCUCUUUCGGGAUCAACCUUCACCCAACGCCUUUGUAAAAGCUCUGCUACCUUGUAUAAAUCUUGUUGUAGUAUCGAUUUCUUUCUGUAAACACUCUUUCCUAUCCUUAUUUCUAAGCUCAAGCCCCUCUAUAAAUCACAAAGAUAGGAAGUUGCAAGAUGACCAGUCUUGCCCGACAAGGAGAAACCUUGCAUGAUCCUCUUUGUUUUUUGUCUUUUCAUUCAUAAGUCUAGUAAUAUGUUGUAUACUUCCAUUUGUAUCCAAGUUAGUUCCCGCAAGUUGAUAAUUAAAAGACUCAUCAGUGCUUGAAUCCGAUUGGAAUAUUUAGUCACAACUUAAAUCAGAUCUAAGUUUUAAACCCUCGGGCAUGUAAGAUUGAUCAUUCAAAAGUCCUUGGUCUCAAGGCAUAAAAAAGAACAUUAUUCCAAGGCCUACACCUAAGGCCCUACAAAGGCACCUAUUUGGAUGCAUUCUGCUCUUCGGGCUCGGGUAAUUAGAAGUAUAAUAGUCAUAACACUUCUGCAACCAAUGAAAUAAACAGUAUAUGUUCGAGUACUGGGUUAGUUAUUGAUGGGAAGCCUCAAGGCCUACACCUAAGGCCCCACAAAGGCACAUUUCAUAACUAAAACAGCCUCUCGGAUAUAUAUACAAUUAAAACUCAACAUCUGUUUUACAUCUGCCAUGCUAGAGAUGGCAGUGGCACGCCUGAACACCUAAAAGUUAAUAUUGAUUGUGAGCCUCAAGGCCUACACCUAAGGCCCUACAAAGGCACCUUUCAAAGUUAACCAUGUCCUUCUCUUUCAGCCUUGCCCGACAAGAUUUGCCCGACAAGCUUGCCAAUAAGCAGAAGCCCGACAGAAAGCAUUAGCCGGCACCAACCUCUCGGGGAGCUGUGUGCUCGUCGGCUAGGAAACAUCCCCAACGGAAAAUCUAGCCACAAACAAAUAGGGCAGAAGAAAAUUUUUCAUUUGUGGUUUGGAACCAGGAAGAACAUGUUGAACACGAACGAUGUCUUGAUUUACAAUGUUUCUGAAGAUUCAACUAUAGAACCAGCAACUCCACAGAACUUGCUAAGAGAUAUCGCAGUGUCCUCAACCACAGUUUUAUCUUCUACUUCUGCGCCUGACACAAGUGCCCAGUCAUUCAAAAGAAAGAGAGAAUUAGCUAGAAGAUGUCUUUUUGCCGUCCUGAACUGUUAGGAAUAUAAUAGAACCUAUAUGUAAUUAAAGGUUUUACUUUACUUAGCUGUUAAGCUAAUUGUACCUAUUUAUAUAUGAUAUUGUAUUCUUUCAGACGGUAAGAUCAAUUCAUUCAAUCAAUACACUUCUCUUUCUAGAAUCCUCUCUCUCUCUCUCUCUACCUUUAUCCUUUCUCUCACAGAAUCAUAAGCUUCCACAUGGUAUCUUCGCCGGUGUCUAACGACCUAGAUCCACCACUUCCGUCUUCUUGAAUUUUCUCACCCUUUCUCUUUCUCCCAAACAGAUCUUAUCUGCCUGAACUUCUUCAAUUUCUUAAAAUUUCUUCUCCAAUCUUGCUUCUCUGAUGGCGACUGGUGUGAAUUAUGCGGAUCCUUCUUCUCUGGCUGGUUCUUCUGGUUCUAAUGUCGCGCCCAAUGCGUCCAAUCCGUCUCUUUCUUCGAUCAUUGUUCAGAAUAUCACUGGCAUGGUUGCAACGAAGCUCACUCGCCACAACUACAUCACUUGGCGUAGUCUCUUUCUUCCUGUUCUAAAACGAUUCAAGCUUUUAGGGCUUGUCAAUGGAACUGAUGUGUGUCCUCCUCCAUUUGUGACUGAUUCGUCUGGAUCUCAAGUUUCUAAUCCCGCAUUUGAGACUUGGUGCGAUCGUGAUCAAAUCCUGAUGAUUUGGAUUAAUUCAACAUUAUCUGAAGAUCUCCUUCCAUUGACGGUUGGCAUGGACGAUUCCAGAUCUCUCUGGCACUCUCUCGAACGUCGGUUUUCUGGUGCAUCUCGUACUCACAUUCACAGCCUUCGUUCGAAGAUUCAGACUAUCCAAAAAUGAGACUCUUCAAUGACUGAUUACCUCAACUCUCUUAAGGAAAUCUCUGAUAAACUUGCCGCGGCUGGCGAACCGAUUUCUGACUCAGAUCUUGUGGCCUACAUUCUUUCUGGUCUCUCCACUGAGUAUGAAUCAUUUAUUGAUUCUAUUGAAACACGAUCUGACUUUGUCAAUCCUGAUGAGCUGCAUGGAUUACUCCUGAGUAAAGAGAUUUCUCUUCAAAAACGCAAAACCAGAGAACCGUCUUCUUCUUCAGCACUGUUUCAUGCUUAUACGGCUCAACCUGGUUUUUCUGGUUCCAACAAUUUCAGAGGUAAUUCCCGUGGUCGAUUUCAAAACAAAAAUCGCUACAAUUCGAAUCGCAAUUUUGGAGGCAAUCGUCAUUACAACAACACUUCUGGCAGUCUUCUUGGUCCUGGUCCUAAUUCCAGAUCCACAUUCUCUGGUCAGCAUUUCAACAAUUCCUUUUCUGGCCGCUCUCUUCAGUGCCAAUUAUGUCUCAAAUUUGGUCAUGAAGCUCUCAACUGUGAGAAGCUCCUUCAGUUUGCAUCUCAAAGAUCAAAUCAUGGACCUCCUGUUGGCAUGACGGCUGCGCCUUCUCCUCCACCGAGCUAUUGGUUGACUGAUAGUGGAGCCUCUCAUCAUGUGACACCUGAUCCAUCCUCUCUUAAUUCUGCAAUUCCCUACAAUGGCAGUGAUCAGCUGUUUGUUGGUAAUGGUAAAAGUCUGUAUAUUUCUCAUACUGGAUCUGCCUUAAUUCGUACUUCCAAUGCUACAUUUAAGCUCAAUGAUGUGUUGUUGGUUCCCAAAGCAUCCCAUAAUCUGUUAUCAGUUUACAAAUUUGUCUAUGACAAUUGGGCUUCUCUGACUUUUGAUCCUUUUGGGUUCUAUAUCAAGGACCCAAGAACUGGGAAGAUGCUUUUCCAGGGCCUCUGUGAAGGCGGCUUAUAUAUCCUUUCUACUGGACUACAUCCAAUAAAACCUCAGGAAUUGCUCUCUCACCUACGGCAUUAAUGAUAGCUAAGGCAGAUGUUCAUCUCUGGCAUAAAAGACUCGGUCACCCAUCGAGCUUAGUUUUACAUAAUGUUGUCCAUAAACAUCAGCUACCUGUUAUUGGUUCUGUCAAUUCAGGGUCCAUUUGUCCUGAUUGUAAGAUGGGGAAGGCAUCUAGAUUACCAUUUUCUACUUUGCCUUGUACUUCCACUAGGCCUUUUCACUUACUGCAUACAGAUGUUUGGGGUCCUUCUCCCACUCUUUCAUGUACUGGUUUCAAGUAUUACCUCAUUUUGGUAGAUGACUACACUAAAUACAGCUGGCUUUAUCCUAUGGUUUAUAAGUCUAAUGUUUACUCCACUUUCAAGACUUUUGUUCUCAAAGUUACAAAUUUCUUUUCUUGCAAGAUCCAAUGUCUCAGGUCAGAUUCAGGGGGUGAGUUCUUAAGCAAGAAUUUUCAGACUUUUCUCAAUGAACAGGGUAUUACACAUCAGUUAAGUUGUCCGCAUACACCUGAACAAAACGGCGGCUGCGCAGAAAGGAAGCACAGGCAUAUUGUUGAAAUGGGUCGGACUCUUCUCUUCAGAGUGGAAUGGCACCAAAAUUCUGGGUUGAGGCUUUUCAGACUGCUGUCUACAUUAUAAAUAGACUGCCUCCUCAAGCAUCUUCUACUAGCCCUUGGGAAAAACUUUUCAAUGCUGUCCCUCAGUAUCACACUCUCAAAGCCUUUGGCUGUGCGUGCUACCCAUGGCUGCAGAUCGUUCCUCAGUUAAUAAUUUUUUUUUUUUUUUUUUGGCAAUGUGCAAACUUUAAACUAUCUUAUACUCAUGUCUGCCAACUUUUGUCACAAAUUUAAGACAGUGAUGUAGAAGAGAUCUCAGAAGAAAAUGCGCAAGACUUUGAUGAAGUUCCUAUAAAGUUGUUGCAAAAUAUAUCAUCUCCGGCUGCUGCAAAAACAUAUUCAAGUCCCUCCAAAAAAGACUAGGUAACUACCCUUAAUGCUUACUUGUUCUGCAAGUGUUAAUUUGUUUGUAUACAAAUCAAACACAUCUAUUUUCACUUUCCAUUUAUUUAAGGAUCUUUCCAUCCAACUCACUCCAGUCGAAAUUUAGCGUUCUUAGCAUAAUACUUUAUUUCGAAUUGAUAUAAUAUUGUUUGUUUAAUUUUCCUCCAGAGCAUUUUAUUUGUUUCUAUCUUAUACAAAAAAAAUACAUACCACGUACUUUUAUCUCAUUGUCUUUCCCUAUUUUCUUACUUGAAACACAACACUUGGUUUUAUUGUAUUUUUCAGAUCAUGCAAAAUGCGGUUAUCAACUUUUUUCCUGUCCAUUUGCCGCAGAAAGAACACUGAAUCUUCCUUUUGAAUUGAUGUUAUUUUGCUCCUUUAAUCAAAUAUGCAUCAAACAGUGUUUUUCUUAUUUUUAGGUUUGUAAAUAACUCUCUCUGAUCUAGCGUAGACAAUAUUUUUUGCAUGUACAUAGCACAGCAUUUUGUAAUAUUUUGUAUGCAAAUGCUGGUCCCAAUCUGUUAUCUAGGUUGAUCAAUAUUUUGGGGCAUGUACAUAGGCGGUAGGCCAGCAUUUUCCAAUGCUUUCUGUCUAAAUGUUGUCCAGAAUGUCUAUUUUAGGUUGGUCAAUAAUUUUUGCAUGUACAUAGUCCAGCAUUUUCUGAUCUUUUUUGUAUACAAAUGCUGGUCCCAAUUUGGAAUUGGGUGAAAACAAUGAAGUAUAGUAAAUGGUCCCAAUCUUUUGUUUAUCUAAAUUUAUCUUGCUGUUUUCUUGCACUCUCUCCGUUUUUCAAGCAUGGUAACCAACAUACUUUUUAAUUCCUCUUUAAAAAGAUGAUUGCACACAAACAUGUAGUUGGAUAUUUUCUAUUGGCUAACAUGCAUCUAGUCGUUGCCUAAUAGACUAAUUGGUUGGUAAGUCACAUAGUACUAUUACUUGGUAGAGAAAUGCUAAUUAAGAAGACUCUUUUCAAAUAAGGACUUUCUAUGGGUUCUCUGUCACCUUAUUUUUUCGGCACAAUGUUUUAUAACGUUGACACGAGAAUUGUGUCAAAAGCAUGAGAUGACAGAGAGUCUAUGAAGAGUCUCACUUUUGAGAGAGUCUCCUUAACAUUUCCCUACUCGGUAUAUAAACGUUUCUUGUGUGUAUAAUACAGAUAAAAUAAUGAUGAGAAGUUAAAAUGCAUGCAUCCCUCUCCCACCGCACCUUCCAUAAAAAGUGUUUGUUAGAAUAUUUUUAAUCCAACAUAUACCAAAAAUAUCCUAAUAUCCAAAUGAUAAAGGUUAGGGAAAUCAUAUUUUGUAUCACAUUGAUGUAAUUUCUAAUGUAGCAACUGCUGUGUACUUGACAUGUUAGUUAAUAAAUUCAUUUCAUUGGCUAAUGAUUGUAUGAAACAUUUGCUAGAUCAUGUGACAUGGUAUAAAUAUGUGAUCCCCUAGCAUCACUCUAUUCAAAUAACCGACAAAACUUUUGCAAAUGAUAUCCUUUACUUUUAACGAUAAUACUUGGGUACUCAUAAGCGUGUACUCAACUUUUAAUUUUGUCCAAUAUUUUUUUACACGUGUUAUUGCUCUAGUCAAGAAUUGACAUGUUAUUAAUUUUUCUUGUGCUUUAAAAACCAAAGAACAUGUGACAUUUUUUUUUAUUAGGCCAAAUCAGAAAAGUGAGUAUUAUGUCGUUAUAUCGGGUGUCAAUUUUUAAGAACACGUUAAGAUAACAAGUUUGACACGACAUGACCUGUUAAUAACGUAUAUGAAACAAAAACGAAAAACACAACUUGUUUACCAGAUCUCCAAAAUACCCUAAAAUUAAAUAUACUAAUUAAUUUUGCAGUGGGCUAGGUGGUUUUUAACUAGGUCGGGACAAUUCUAGUUCCUAGGCCAUCUAGAAGUGGCCCCGACUCAACCUUAAGGUCUCUUGCAAGCAUAGUGUGACUAAACUCAUUCUCUUCUUUUAAUGUAAAUAAUAUCAUUUGUUAAAAAAAAUAAAAAUAAAAAAUUCUCGUUUUCCUCGCGAAGGAUUGGACCAUUUUUCGCUUUGCUAGGCCGAGUUAGGCCCAAACAAGACUUUGAUCCCUUUGCCUCUUUGCUGGGCUGGGUCCCACUCAAAGAAAGAUUUGGACCCUUCUACUCAAACAAUGACUUUGUCCCAGUUCAUCUUGUUAGAUACGACCCACUCUAAUAAGGACGCGUGCCCUUUUACUGGUUGUUAGGCCGAUCCUUCACUGGUUUAGCAACUUUUUGGAGCGUUAUUUAUUUAGAGCAUAUUGUCUUGCUUAAAAUUGUAGCAUUGGCCAAACCGCAUGUGAACCAUGUAUGAAGCCCUCGCCAAAGACAAACCAUUUUAGCCACCACUCAUGUGCCAAGGACUUGGACCAAUGAAUUCUAUACAGUGUUUUUUUAGUUUUUUAUUUUUUAAUUUUACUCUUAAAGAAAUAAUUUUUUUAGUCGUGUUUGUGCCCUUGGUAGUUAGAGUUUUGCUCCAAUAGAAAGUGAAAUCAAAUUUCAGAGCUUGAAGAUAAAGAAUUUUAGAAUGCUAGUUAUUACGUCAUAAAUGACCUAGGUGUAUUCAAAUAAUAAAUUUUAUUUAUUUAUUUGUAUAUCUAUACAUCGGGUCCUUUAAAUUUCCAGAAUCUUUUUAUUUUAGAAAGAUUAUCUUCGUCUUUGUUUAUGUCUCGGUUAGAACAAAUUACUAUAAUUUUACUUGAAAACCUUCUAGGUCUACCAGUAUAUGUUUGACAAAAUGUUUUCCUCUAUUCAGCCUAGGAAGCCGCCAAGAAGGAAUUUGAUCAUUCUUUGGGAUUGGUGUACGGAUGACAGAUGCAACGUACCGACCAAGCUAAGCGAUUGAGCGACCAAGGAAUCACGUCUUGGUCUAGGUCUGAUCAAUACAUUGGGGGCAUUGGAUUUUAUGUUUUUUGUGUUUUUGAGUUCAUAUGAAAGACGAUAAUUGAUUGAAGAUGCAACAGUGAAGAAUAUAACGCAAAUACAGAAAUGCAGACGGAGAUAGCCAUUAAACUAAUAAGAAUAAUUUAAAUAAUAAAAUAACUUUCGUGAUUCGGAAGGUUAGUGCACCCUGUGCCCUCCCCCUCCCCGGCAAGGUUAAUUAAUGAGUUCAAAUUUUUCAAUCAAAUUUUAUAAAUUAAAAUGUGUGAUUGUUGAUAAUUAGAUUAUUAUUUAAGUAUUGUUAAUAUACUUAUUUCUUAUUAUUGAUACAUUAUUUAGUUUGUAAAUUUGAUUUAAAAUUUUGGUCUACCUACUACCUAGCGUUACUCUAAUUUGAAUCCUCUUCCGGGUUGGUUGAAGUUGCCCUAGUCUCCUUUCAUUUGUAAAUACUGUCAUGUGCAAGCUACCUUAAUUAUCCUCCAUGCAUAUUGGAUCCGAGCUUGUAAGCUUUUAUUCGGUUCGGAUCGCAAGUUCACCUUACAUGGAUUUAGGGUUGAGAAGGGUCUUAACAGUGUCAGAAGCAUCAUCACAUGUCCGAAAUGCUAGGUCAGAAAGAUUGAUUGCGGGUCUAAGAUGUCUCUAGGACAAGAAACUCGUCAUUCAUUUUAAACCACUAGGCCUUUAUUUUUUUUUACUUAUUUUCUUGGUGCAAAAUACUAGGUCUGUCAAUUUUUUGCAUGAUUGUUAACAUGGCACGAACGAUAUGAAAAUAAUAGGUUACGGGUUACCCGUUAAGAACUGUUUCACAAGUCGGGUCAUUAGCAGGUCACCCGUUAAGAACCCGAUAAGAUAUUGUUUGCGAGAUGUAGACAUACAUGAUCGUUUAUUGCAUGACCCGUUAACCUGAUACAAAAUGACAUGAUCUAUUAACAAAUUUGGUCAUUAUUAGGUCACCUAUCAAGAACACGAUAAGAUAAUGAGUUUAAUACGACAUGACUCAUUAAAAUAGCGAAUACAACAUAAAAGUAACAAAUACGACUCGUUUACCAGGUCUACAAGAUACCAUAAAACUAAAUAAUACUAACCAAGGACUUUGGACCCUUCUACUCAAACAAUGACUUUGUCCCUUUUCAUCUUGUUAGAUACGGACCCUCUCUAAUAAGGAUUUUGGCCCUUUCCUCCAUGUUAGGUGGAGUCGUAAUUUAACAAGGUCUUGGAUGGAUUUUACAAGACCAUAAGGGCGUGGACAUGCUCAUCCUUGGUCGGCCAUAAUUGUAUUUAGUGUUUUAUUUAUUCUACUUGAUUGUUGGUGUUAAAACUCGGAAAGAGUCCGAAUUGGAUUCAACACGUAUUUGCUUCGAAUAUUGUUUUUUAUCUCAGUGCCACGAGAUGUGAUAAACCCCACCCUAAAUUAAUUGUAUUUUCAUAUUUACUGGAAUUAUGAAUUUACAUUUUUGCCCCUUAUCCUCUACCCAAUCCGGAUUCCCUUUUGGAUUUUCUCUUGACCCUCACUCUCUCUGACUGCCAAAUGGCAGCUCCCCCACUUUCCUCUCUUCUCCCCCGAGUACUCUUUCUUAGGUCACACUCUCUCCCUCUCUAGAUCCCUCCCCCUCUCCCCGAACCUACGCAUAAACACACACCAAAGUUGACAACGACAGCGAGACGGCACCACCAUCACCACCAGUGUCGACUCUCUCUCGCUCCCUUAUCCUCUGUUAAGCACAAAAAGCUCAGGAAGUGAGUCGGCGAGCCCGUGACUUUCGAGCCAAAAAUUCGGCCAACUCCGGCCACCACACGGUGUGUUGCAAGUACGAACCUCUUCCCUUCUCUCGUACCUUUAAUUCUAAAGGUAAGGUGGUGAUUCAACGUCGAUCGAAGCACAGGAGGCUUCGACCUUCUUCCUCGGCGAGAAACAGGCUGGCUUGAACCAAACCCACAAGCCUGAGUCCUUUAGCCCAAAGCCUUGGGCCGGGCAUUCAAGCCCAAGCCCAAGCCCAAGCCCAUUAAAACCCUAAACCCAACCCUUUUCACUGCUACAAUAUUAGCUUUAGGUGUCGGACGAUCCUGGCAGUUAAUAAGUCAUCCUGACGGAUACAAGAUAUCUGACACAUAAUUUAUUUACUGUCGGAUUAAAGUUACUUUAUGUCGGAUAUAUCAACAUAAAUUCCUGGCGGAUUUUUCCUAACGGAUAUAACCGCCAUAAAAUUAUUAUAACCCUCAGUAUUUUUGAAUUCUUUUUUUUUAAAUAUUUUUAACAUAUUUUGGUAGUUUCUAAAUUAAUGGUGGCAGGUUAUAACCGACAGAAAUUGACUAUUUUAUUAUUUUAAAAUGUUACAUUGAUUAAAAAUAAAUAAAUAAAUAAACAAAUGGUUUAAAUUUUUUUUUUCACUCACAGUCCCGUUAACUAAUCUCUGAAUGUUUUGUUUUUUUUUUUUUUUUUUUACAAUUUUUUACACAUGCUAUCUCGGAGUAUAUACAAACAUAUUUGAUGGUUGGAUCGUUGAAACUAGUUUCGUAGAAUGCAUAUCCUAUCAAAUUGAUAGAUUUAACAAACACUUAAGAGUUAAUGUUAUACUUCCAUUAAGUAUAAAACAUUAUCCACUAGUGUAAAUAUUUUAAAUCGAAGAUCGAAUUCGUUCAAUGCAUUCUUAUAGGGUUGAGGAGUGUAGCUGUAAAAAAAUCAUCAAAAUCAAAGUUAAAAUAACUGUUAAAUUGUGAUUUUUUGUUUACAACCAUCGAAAAUUUUUGUUUCGUUACCUAAUCUCUGAAUGUUUGUUUUUUACGUAUACAAUCUCGGAGUAUGUAAAAAUAAGUUUGACGGUUGGAUCGUUGAAAAAAGUUUCAUAGAAUGCAUAUUGCAUCAAAAUUGUAGAUUAAACAAACACUUAGAGUUAAUAUUAUACUUCUAUAAAGUAUAAAAUAAGAUUUUUUGGUAUCCACUAGUGUAAAUAUUUUAAAUUGAAGAUCAAAUUUAUUCAUUACAUUUUUAUAGGGUUGAGGAAUGUAGCUGUAAAAAAUCAUCAAAAUCGGAGCUAAAAUAACCGUUAAAUUGUGAUUUUUCUUUUAUAACCGUCGAAAACUUUUGUUCCGUUACCUAAUCUUUGAAUGUUUGGUUUUUUUUACGAUUUUUUACGUAUGCAAUCUCGGAGUGUGUACAAAUAAGUUUGACUGUUGGAUCGUAGAAAAAAGUUUCAUAGAAUGCAUAUUGCGUCAAAACGAUAGAUUAAACAAACACUUAGAGUUAAUAUUAUACUUCUAUUAAGUAUAAAAUAAGAUUUUGUGGAAUCAACCAACGUAAAUAUUUAAAUUAAAGAUCGAAUUUAUUCAUUACAUUCUUAUAAGGUCGAGGAGUGUAGCAGUAAAAAAUCAUCAAAAUCGGAGCUAAAAUAACCGUUAAAUUGUGAUUUUUCAUUUAUAACCGUCGAAAAUUUUUGUUUCGUUACGUAAUCUCUGAAUGUUUGGUUUUUUACAAUUUUUUACGUAUGCAAUCUCGGAGUGUGUAAAAAUAAGUUUGACGGUUGGAUCGUUGAAAAAAGUUUCGUAUAAUGCAUGUUGCAUCAAAACGGUAGAUUAAACAAACACUUGAGUUAAUAUUAUACUUCAAUUAAGUAUAAAAUAAGAUUUUGUGGUAUCUACUGGUGUAAAUAUUUUAAAUUGAAGAUCAAAUUUAUUCAUUACAUUCUUAUAGGGUUGAGGAGUGUAGUUGUAAAAAAAUCAUCAAAUCGGAGCUAAAAUAACCGUUAAAUUGUGAUUUUUCUUUUAUAACCGUCGAAAACUUUUGUUCCAUUACCUAAUCUCUGAAUGUUUGUUUUUUACGAUUUUUUACGUAAGCAAUCUCGGAGUGUGUACAAAUACGUUUGACGGUUGAUUGUUGAAAAAAGUUUCGUAGAAUGCAUAUUGCGUCAAAACGGUAGAUUAAACAAACACUUAGAGUUAAUAUUAUACUUCUAUUAAGUAUAAAAUAAGAUUUUGUGGAAUCCACUAGUGUAAAUAUUUUAAAUUAAAGAUCGAAUUUAUUCAUUACAUUCUUGUAGGAUCGAGGAGUGUAGCUGUAAAAAAUCAUCAAAAUCGAAGCUAAAAUAACCGUUAAAUUGUGAUUGUUCGUUUAUAACCGUCGAAAUUUUUUGUUCCGUUACGUAAUCUCUGAACGUUUGUUUUUUACGACUUUUUACGUAUGCAAUCUCGGAAUGUGUACAAAUAAGUUUGACGGUUGGAUCGUUGAAAAAGUUUCGUAGAAUGCAUGUUGCGUCAAAACGGUAGAUUAAACCACUUGAGUUAAUAUUAUACUUCUGUAGACAUCGAAAUUUCGGUAAAUAAAUGUUGACGAUAAAUCAAAGUGUCAACGCUCAUGUAUUACAUAAAUUUUACACGUAGCGUGUGACUUAACGAAAAUUGAAAUGAGUUGGAAAAGUCAUCAAAUAGGACGCGUGUCAACACCUGGCAGAAACGACUUAUUUCAUCUGGAAUAUUAUAUUCAAAAUUAGGCCUUGGAAAAUUCUAUAAAUAGAAGCCAAUUUCAUUCAUUUGAAAGACCAAUUCAUAUUACACCUUGAAGCCCUGAAACUCUGAAACUCCGAAGCUCUCAAGCAUCCAGGUUCCCGAAGAAUCAAGAAAGCGUUCUUCGUUCAUCGUUCAUCGUUCAUCCUAAGACCAAGCCCCAACGGCCCUUUGGAUCAACAAUCAUCCACCAAUUCAAGAUCAAGCCCCAACGGCCCUUGAAGAACUUCCACCAAUUCAAGAUCAAGCCCCGAGGGCCCUUGAAGAAAGCACCAUUGUUCAUCAUCCGUUCAUCCAAGAUCAAGCCCCAACGGCCCUUUGGAUCAACAAACAUUGACAAAUCCACACACAUCCAACUGUUCUUCAAGAUUAAGCCCAAAAGCCCUUGAAGAUUCGUUCAUCACUGUUCUUCAAGAUCAAGCCCAAAAGCCCUUGAAGAUCCGUUCGUCACUGUUCUUCAAAGAUCAAGCCCAAAAACCCCCUUUGAAGAUCCGCUCAAAUCCACCUUCAAGAUCAAGUCUACGGCCCUUGAAGAACGUUCAUCCUUAGAUCAAGCCCAACGGCCCUUUGGAUCAAUCGCACAUCCACAAAUACACACCUUACGGAGAUCGAAUCAGAGGAUCAAAAUAGAGAGAGAUUGUAACCCAAAAUCAUCAAAUACAUAAUAUUUGUUUGUGCACGUUUGUUCUUGUCUCUUUCGUUUCAGGAAUUUUCCGUGUUCACAAAUUGGCACGCCCGGUGGGAUAAUCUCUGCCUCUCAUCUCUUUCUCCAUUCAAGAAAUUCAAGCGCACUUCCAAAAUUAAUGGCAUCAAGGAAGGCUCAAACUGUUCCCGCAACCGGCGCAAAGAAAAAAAGCGUCAUCGUCGCAACUGGUGUCACUUUGGGCAUCACGACUCGAAACAUGGCAAGAGCUACUUCUGCCGCCUCUUUCACCUCUGCAUCAACUCUGCCAAGGGAACAAAAGCACCCAAGGCACGAGCCUUCGAUCACCUUAGCCUCACUAAGGGCACCAAGGGGGGAAAGCCCAAGAAAAUACUCUGAAUCCAUGCUCUCCGAUGUCGAUUCAAGCGACAGUUCAGCCAUGCAAGUCAUGACCAUUGGAGCAACUUCAAUCGAUGAGCAGCUGGCUCAAAUGAAUGAAGCAAUCGCAAGGCUAACCCGAACUGUGGAAGAAAAAGACUUGCAAAUUGCAGCACUAGUCAACCGAUUGGAGGCACAAGACGGCGAUAAACCCGACCCAGAGGAUGAUCCACUAAAGGGAGGAGCUGGCGGAGACGAAGAACCCCCGGUGAAGAAAAUCGAUGGGAAUCCGGAGCCAGACCAAGCAGCGGCACUCAUGGGAUCUCUUUCUAUCCAGCAGCUGCAGGAGAUGAUCACCAACACCAUCAAGGCACAAUACGAAGGGAGCUCAAAUACCUCCGGGUUGUACUCAAAGCCAUAUUCAAAGAAGAUCGACGCCUUAAGGAUGCCGAGGGGUUAUCAACCACCAAAGUUCAUGCAAUUUGAUGGAAAGGGAAACCCGAAACAGCACGUUGCCCACUUCGUUGAAACUUGCAACAACGCAGGAACCGAAGGGGAUUACCUCGCCAAGCAGUUUGUGCGCUCGCUGAAAGGAAAUGCCCUUGAGUGGUACACGGACCUAGAGCCUGAGUUCAUCAACAGCUGGGAGCAAUUAGAGCGGGAAUUCCUCAACCGCUUCUACAGCACCCGCCGCACUGUGAGCAUGCUAGAGCUAACGAGCACAAAGCAGUGGAAGGACGAGCCAGUCAUUGACUACAUCAACAGAUGGCGCACUCUAAGCCUCGAUUGUAAAGACAGGCUCUCGGAAACCUCUUCAAUCGAGAUGUGCAUCCAAGGCAUGCAAUGGGGUUUGCAAUACAUCCUUCAAGGCAUUAAACCACGGACUUUCGAGGAAUUAGCCACUCGCGCCCAUGACAUGGAGUUGAGCAUCGCCCAUCAUGGGAAGAAGGAACCAAUCGCCGACUACAAGAACGACAAAGUUCUUGGGCCAAAGGUGGAGAAGGCUACGUGGAAAUCCACCAAAGAAGCAAUGACAGUCAACACAGCUCCCGUCAAAAUCCCUACACGAGGCAAGGCGAUUCAAAACGAAGCUUUUCAUGAUCAAGAGAUGCGUAGACGCACUUUGAAGGAGCUUGAGGAGAAGACUUAUCCAUUCCCCGACUCUGAUGUGGUUGCCAUGCUGGAUGACCUGUUGGACAAGAAGGUGAUCAGUUUGCCUGAGUGCAGACGGCCGGAAGAGAUAAAUCGUACCGACAGUCCAAGAUACUGUAAAUUCCACCGCUUCAUCAGUCAUCCGACAGAAAAAUGUUUCGUGCUGAAAGAUCUCAUCAUGAAGCUGGCUCAGAAAGGAAUCAUCGAGCUAGAUCUUGACGAAGUGGCGAAGUCAAACUAUACCACCUUCACUUCUGGCUCUUCCGACUCAAAGUUUUCACCUCAACCGCUGGGGGCAUCCUCCAAGACAAGCAAAGUUGAAGGAUGGACUCAAGUCAAUCCUAAGAAAUUGCACAAGAAGCAUACGUCUCCUCCACAAGUCCGCCAAUCGGAAAGGGGGCAAAGCAGUUCUUGUCAACCUUCAAAGCAACAUGAACGUGUUGAAGAUGAUGAAAUUGCGACACAAAGAUCGUCCAUUGCCAUCACAAUGCGCGAUUUCUUUCCCGAAGACUUCUUCAAUCACUCGGUCAAGGCUCCUUGCUAUGAAGAUGGUGAGGAACGCCUCUCCAAAAUUGCUUGACAAAAUUCACAAAUUCUCCUCGCCCGCACGAGUCUAAACUGCAUGGCACAAAGCUCCUUGUCCGCACGAGCCUAAACUGUAGGACACAAAGCUCCUGGCCUGCACGAGCCUAAACUGCAUGGCACAACGCUCCUGGUCUACACGAGCAUAAAAAGCAAUACCAACGCUCCUUGUCUGCACGAGUUGAAACUGCAAACGACACCAACACUCCUUGCCUGCAUGAGCUGAAACUGCAAACGGCACAAAAAAGAAAAUACCAAAAAAAUAUAUGUAUGUAUUUGAACUACGUUUCGACUUGAUCUCUUUAGAAGGGUACGUAGGCAGCUUGAAUAUUCAAUUUCAAGUUCAGUCACAACAAAUAAAAAAUAAUAAUAAUGUUUUAUUAGAAAAAAAAUAUACAUAUGUUUUAUGUAUUUAGAAAAAAAGAGAAAAGAAAAAAAAAAAAAAGGAGUUCUUUUACAUACAUACACAUACAUAUAUAUAUGUAUGUAUAUCCAUCAGCAGCCAGCCUCUCAAAAGGAGGUCAUCCAGGCCCAAGUGGCAGCCUCCAAGCCCAGUCUCUCCGCCAUCUCCACUCGGAUCUCUUUUUAGCUCUCAAAGCCCAUCUCCACUUGGAUCUCUUCUCAUCUCUCGCACUCUCUCGGAUCUCCCUCUCUCGCCGAUCGAACCCACACCCACAUAACGAGGUACCAGAGCCACCCCGAUGACGGCGCAACAACACUACCACCCUCGUGAAUCUUUCAUCCCUCUCCCUCCAUCUCUGUGGAACUUUGGGGCACCCAGAGGGCACCCAAAUCCAGGUCCGACGAGCUCACGGACCUCAAUCUAGAAUCCAGGCCCGUCUCUCAGCUACAUCUUCAAUCCAUUUACGGUUCACCAUCAAGAGGAAGUCCGACAGGUAGAUCUUUUGUCAAUUCAAGCUUCGAACCUUCGACACAGCAAGGGCAGACGGUCGAGCUUCUACUCCAUUCCGGGUCAGAUUCCAGCUCUCGGUUUCGCCCGAAGGCCGGGUUCUGGAUUCGGGUUCGGGUUCGACGUCCAGGUCCAGGUCCAGGUUGUAUAAGAAGGAAGGGCUUACUCGUGCGACAGUGUUUGGCAACACGAUCGAGUGGAGAUCAUCGCCAACGAUCAGGGUAACAGGACGACGCCGUCUGUUGUGGCUUUUACCGACACCGAAAGUUUGAUCGGCGAUGCGGCCAAGAAUCAGGUCGCGAUGAAUCCACGACCACGGCUUGCUCCACCGCAGCGACUAUCGAGCACGCGAGCUCUAUCCUCCGCUCCACCAACUCAUCGACGCCGUCGUCCACUCCGACUCUGUGGAGUCGUCACUGAGCCUUAACUUUUCCCCCGUGUAGGACUGUUUUGUCUGUCCUCUCUUUCUCGCUUAGCAACCUCUGACAACGACAAGCACUGUCGUUCUCCUCCUGCAAAGUGACAGCUGGUGAUAGCAGAAGAAUAACUCAGCAGUCAGCACCUCGUCUUCUUCAUUCUGUCAUCUCCACCGUCAAGGUCCCGAAAAACAUGGAGUCCGUCAACCAGAUCCAGCAAGUAAAUUAUCCAGAUUCUCCGGGGCAUAUCUGACCAAUGAGUCAUCCCCGCACGCUCUCAUUAUCUCGUUCCUAUGGUUCUCGUAAAACUCCUGGUAAGUCGGCACCAACUUCUUCGCCACCGAAACUUUAAUCUCGUCUCGGAGUUGCGGGUCCAUCACGACCCACGAUGUUUGUUUCUUGUAUGCCUCUUCAAACGCCGCGUUGAAGAGCUUGAAGUAGAUCCUGGCUUGGUCGGAUGAAAUCUCAGCGGUCGGAUCUUUCGGUAGGGAAUCGAACACCUUGGUCCAUCCCAUGCGAUUGUAGUUUGCGGCGUACUGUUUGAUUUUCGAGUCGUGCUUCUCCACCCAGUAAUCCCCGAGCAGGUACUUGAGGUUGGAGCUCCGGACCUUUCCGACGACGUAUUGGAGAUUGUUGAAGUAAGACUUGGUUUGCAGUUCCUCAACAAUAUUCUCUAGAUUCUUCAGCUUCGACAGACUCUCUUCCAGCUCUGCAUUUCUGGUUUCAAAAACCGCAGAUGUUUCUCGAAAAUGGUGGCGGGUGGCUCCGGGGAUCUGUACUGAUGCAUUCGACGCUUAUACUGAAAUCCACCGGUCAAAUCGGCUGCGAUGCUAUGACAUUGACGGGUGUUAAUAGAGGUGCAGUAUUGCUGAUGCUUUGUUCACCCUUUUCCUUCGCGUUGUGGGCGAAUGAGACCCAGAAAGCCGGUUACCAGAGAGACGGAUCUCGUGGCAUCAACGACAAAGAGGAUGGCGAGGCGUGCAGGAAGAAGCUCAGGCUCUCCAAGGAUCAGUCAGCUAUCUCUGCAACAUCCAGCCCAACCCCUCCUCACCAAUAGAGCUCCACCUUCGAGAUGCUGGACGGUGGUGCCAACUCUGUCGCCGCAUCGUCUGAUUCUCCACCAGACCCCACCUGCUGCACAUGGUGCGCACACCCGGAGCAAGCUGGGCUGCGCUCUCGGCAUCGACUCCUUCCACCACAGCGCCUGGGCUCCCUCGAGCUCGUCGCUAUGACCACCAUGAUAGCAAAGAACUUCAAACGACCGCCGUCAAACGACUAGCCGGCCGUGAAGCUCGAAGCACCAUCUUCUCCGUCCGCCUUCGUCCUUCCCUGCAAAUUCCUCAUCCGUCAUCAGAAUUUAUACAAAAAAAAAUAUAAUAAAAAAAAAAGGUGGUGGAGCAAAACAAAGUGGUGCUGACACCACGUGAAAAAAAAGGGAGUGCAUCAGGCACCAUGUGCAAAGAAAAAAAAAUAAAAUAAAAUAAAAGAACAAAAAAAUUUACAUAUAAUAAUUAUAAAGUGUUUUGGGUGCUGGAUCAACACCAUUCUGAAAAAAGAAAUAUGUAUAUAAAAAUGUUUAAACUUUGGUGCGGCUGGCACCAUAAUUAAAGGCAAUAUAUAUAUAUAUAUAUAUAUAAUUUGAUCUUUGGUGCGUCUGGCACCAUGUGACAAAAGAAAAAAGAGAAAAAAAAAAGAAAAAAAAAAGGAUGGUUGUACAGCGCCAAAAGAAAAAGAAAUAAUAUAUAUAGAUAUAUAUAUAUAUAUAUGCGUGUGUGUGUACAUAAUAUAUAUAUAUAUAUAUAUAGCAAAAAAAAAAAAUUGCAUUGAGAGAAAUAAAGUCCAUUUUAUUUAUUUUUCUGGAAAUUUUGCAUAAAUUUGCAUUAUACAUACCUUAAGAAAAAAAAAUCAAAUCAAAUCAAAUUUACAAGAGGGGAUCUUCAAGGACGAUCAGGUGCCGCCUCACCACUCGGCAGAGCUCCAGAAAUGAGAGGCGCUGGAGGUUGACUGUUUGAAGCCUCACCACUCGGCGGAACUCCAGGAAGUAGAGGAGCCAAAGGUUGAUCAUUCGGAACUUCACUACGCGGUACAGCCCCAGAAGACGAAGGCAAAUGUUGUUGGAACAAACCCACAAACCUCCGAUGAUCAAGUAAAAUCUGACCAUCAGAUUCCUGCAUCUGGUCAAUUUUCCUCUUCAUGUUUGUGGCAUAGUUGUGUGCGAGCUUGUGCAACUGUUUAUUCUCAUGCUUGAGCCCCCUAAUCUCCUGUUUGAGACUCAUCACUUCAGCCGCCAACGAUUCAACUUGACGGGUUCGAGCAAAUAGGCGUUGGGCCAUGUUGGACACAGAACCCGCACACUGCACACUAAGAGCCAAAGACUCCUUAACAGCCAACUCAUCAGACCGCCUGGAAAGUACUCUGUUAUCUUUGGGGGUGACGAGGUUCCGGGCCACCACCGCAGCGGUCAUAUCAUUCUUCAUCACCGAAUCCCCAACGGUAAGAGGACUAGUAGGGGAUAUGAAGGAUGGGCGCCAUAUGUUAUCUGGAGAAGACGGGACUACCUCUUCAUCAAGGUUCAAAUCAAAACGACGGUCGGAGGGUCCAGACAUUUUCAAAGGUGUUGAAGAAAGAAGAGGUCGAACAAAUCAAGACCUUAGAAGUGCAAGAAGGGAGUUUCUACAAGCGAAAAUUCAAGUGUGCUUUGAAACGAACUGCGUACCUCUAUAAAAAAAAUCGGCACUCGACGGGAUUUCAAAGAUCGAAGAGGUGAGCUCAGAGUUCGAAAAUGCCGAUUCAAAAAUCGAAGAGGUAAGCUCAGAAAUCGGAGAAGCAUCUUGCUUUUCCAGACGCGUUAGCACCCGUCACACACAAACUCAGCUUUGCGGAAAUCACGGGCAAUUUGUUAAAGCGCCAAUCCCAGAUAUCAAAGAGGCGCCAGUCUUUUUCAGCCUCGUCAGCACCCGUCACGCGCAAACUCAGCUUUGCGGAAAUCACGGGCAAUUUGUCGAAGCGCCAAUCCCAGAUAUCGAAGAGGCGCCAGUCAUUUCAGCCUCGUCAACACCUAUCAUAUGCACACUCAACUUUGCGCAAAUCACAGGCACUUUGUCGAAGAUUUUCGGUGAAGGAGAAAGCACGUGAAGUAUACUGUUCAAUCAUCCAACGGUUGCCGACACGAGUGAAAGAAUAGUACCUCUACAGGUGUUAAAGAACUUCCUAUAACCGUCCACCUUCACCUUCCAUAGCAAGGCAGACAUACAGAGCCUUUCUUCAUCUCCAAAAAAAUGCUUUCCCAACGAAACCUCUCGAGUCAUUCAGUGUUCCUUAUUCCUUGGGGUACCUCUGCAAGCCAAUGACUCCAAAGCAAAAGUAUCUCAUAUCACCAGGGUAGAAAGCAAGAGUAUCUCAUAUCAUGCACUCUCCCUGUCCUUUCCUUUGUCCUUGUUCUUACCUGCAAAGACGAGGAUAAAGAAAGCAAUAUGUCAGAACCUCCACUCAAACUCGGGUAAGGAACCGACUGCUUGGAACCCUUCCCUGAUUGCCUACCUAGCACUGCUCUCAAGUACUCGUUUCCCACUGCUGCUGUACUUCCAAAGAAGCUGCCACAUCUGCCUGGAGAACAGAUAAGGCAAGUGAAAAUGAUACCUUGCAGCAUGUGGAGACAAGGUGCAAAAGGAACAAGCAGAGAAGAAUGCGGUCUGCACAGUCAACUCAGCAAAAGGAGUCCGAACUGAGGAACUCGAGAAGCUGCCAUAUCUGCCUGAAGAAACAAGCAGAGAAGAAUGCAGCAUGCACAGUCAACUCGGCAGAAAGAGUCUGAGAUGAAGGACUCGUUUUGACCCUCAAAUCCUUGGGUCGACUUGCUAGGCGUUGUGGGCUGCACGUACCGAUUUACCACCCUUGAAUCAAAUCCUUAAAGAUCAAGUCACCAACUAGAAGAAGAGCCCAUCAAUCUUGAAGAUUGAACAAAGCAACAAGUCGUCACCUUCACCUCGUGCCUGCUUGCAAUAUGUUCGAGUCAACCUUCAAGAAUCAAGUCUCAACGGCCCUUGAAGAAGUUUCCAGCCAAAUUCAAGAACAAGCCUCAACGGCCAUUGAGGAAAUCACAAGUCCGAUUCAAGAUUAAGUAUCUACCACCCUUGAAUCAAAACCUAGUUCAAGAAUAAGCUGUGGAAAAUCAACAAUUGGAGGAAUCCAGAAAAUCCUCCAACCCAGUUCAAGAUCAAAGCUGUGGAAAGUCAACAAGCGCAACAAAAUACGUGCCGAUUCACCCACUACCAAAGCCAAAGAUCAUCUACCACAUGAAGCUCUUUGUGGUCCAAUUUCAACCUUCAAGAUCAAGUCUCGACAGCCCUUGAAGAAAUUUCAAACAAAAGUUCAAGAACAAGCCUCAACGGCCCUUGAAGAAAUCUCAAGCCCAAUUCAAGAUCAAGCCUCAACGGCCCUUGAAGAAUCUCCAGCCCAAUUCAAGAUCAAGCCUCAACGGCCCUUGGAUCGACAUCUACAGUAAGGGACUUCAAAACGCAUCUCCUACAUGUGACAAGCACAUGUAUACGACGUGCCUUGAAGUGGGGGCAUUUGUAGACAUCGAAAUUUCGGUAAAUAAAUGUUGACCGAUAAAUCAAAGUGUCAACGCUCAUGUAUUACAUAAAUUUUACACGUAGCGUGUGACUCAACGAAAAUUGAAAUGAGUUGGAAAAGUCAUCAAAUAGGACACGUGUCAACACCUGGCAUAAACGACUUAUUUCAUCUGGAAUAUUAUAUUCAAAAUUAAGCCUUGGAAAAUUCUAUAAAUAGAAGCCAAUUUCAUUCAUUUGAAAUACCAAUUCAUAUUACACCUUGAAGCCCUGAAACUCUGAAACUCCGAAACUCUCAAGCAUCCAGGUUCCCGAAGAAUCAAGAAAGCGUUCUUCGUUCAUCGUUCAUCGUUCAUCCUAAGACCAAGCCCCAACGGCCCUUUGGAUCAACAAUCAUCCACCAAUUCAAGAUCAAGCCCCAACGGCCCUUGAAGAACUUCCACCAAUUCAAGAUCAAGCCCCGAGGGCCCUUGAAGAAAGCACCAUCGUUCAUCAUCCGUUCAUCCAAGAUCAAGCCCCAACGGCCCUUUGGAUCAACAAACAUCGACAAAUCCACACACAUCCAACUGUUCUUCAAGAUUAAGCCCAAAAGCCCUUGAAGAUUCGUUCAUCACUGUUCUUCAAGAUCAAGCCCAAAAGCCCUUGAAGAUCCGUUCGUCACUGUUCUUCAAAGAUCAAGCCCAAAAAUCCCCUUUGAAGAUCCGCUCAAAUCCACCUUCAAGAUCAAGUCUACGGCCCUUGAAGAACGUUCAUCCUUAGAUCAAGCCCAACGGCCCUUUGGAUCAAUCGCACAUCCACAAAUACACACCUUACGGAGAUCGAAUCAGAGGAUCAAAAUAGAGAGAGAUUGUAACCCAAAAUCAUCAAAUACAUAAUAUUUGUUUGUGCACGUCGUUCUUGUCUCUUUCGUUUCAGGAAUUUUCCGUGUUCACAACUUCAAUUAAGUAUAAAAUAAGAUUUUGUGGUAUCCACUAGUGUAAAUAUUUUUAAUUGAAAAUCAAAUUUAUUUAUUACAUUCUUAUAGGGUUGAGGAGUGUAGCUGCAAACAAAUCAUCAAAAUCAGAGCUAAAAUAACCGUUAAAUUAUGAUUUUUUUGUUAUAACCGUCGAAAACUUUUUUUUCCGUUAUCUAAUCCUUGAAUGUUUGUUUUUAACGAUUUUUUAUGUAAGCAAUCUUGGAGUGUGUACAAAUAAGUUUGACGGUUGGAUCGUUGAAAAAAGUUUCGUAACAAAAUUUUGGUGGGGAAUUUAAAAUUUUGGGAGGGAAUUUAUAAUUUUGGGAGGGAAUUUUGGGGGGAUUUUUGCCGCCAUUUUUUUUUCUGUGCAACUUUCACGCACACACUUGAACACAAACAUUACCUAUUGGUAGCCUCUAAGAGUGCCACGUCUAUCUCUCUUCUCUCAAGGCAUCUUCUGGCAUUGAGACCGCAAGCAAAACUUGUGGCAAAAUACUUGUUGAACCUAGUCCAGACUCUGUGUGAGUUUUGACACAACAAAUACAAGUGGAUGAACAUUUGAAAAAAAAAACUUCUUCUUAUUAUAUUAUGACAUUUAAUAUACCAAACCGUUUUUGUUAUACACUAAAAAAUCUCUCCUCCUUCACAUGCAUAAAAUGCAGGAAAUAUAUAUACAAAUAUAUUCCUACCUCCCAAGCUCCAAGUUAAGGUGAAUAAGUAUUGUAUUCUCUCUUCCUCAACAGUUAAUAAUUAAAUUGAUAUUUUUCCAUUACCAUAUGUGUGCCUUGGUAAUCAACCAACCAAUAAAUUAUUCUAAGGAAUGUGUUUAUACAAUAAUUGUACAAUAAUCGUACAUCAAAUAUUCUUCAUUACCAGCCGAAUAACUUAAGUCAUGGAUAGGUCUAUUGGUAGGGAAUUUAAAAUCGUAACAAAAUUUGGGGGGGGGGGAUUUUGGGGGGAAUUUUGCCAUCAUUUUUUUUUCUGUCAGUUAUAACCGACAGUAAUGAAAAUUUUCUGUCGGUUUAUAUUUUUAAAAAAUGUUUCUGUCGGUUUUAACCGACAAUAAUGAAAAUUUUCUAAAAUAAAACUCUUCAAUCUCUUCAUUGUGCCGGUGCUUCUCCCUUCACCCUUUUCUUCUCCUUCUCUUCUCCCCUUCUCCUUCUCGCUUCAAUCACCAUGAAGUUCAGUGCUACAUAUUUAUGCUUUUUCCUCAAGUAUUUUGGAGCUAGUAAGCAGAUGUUGAUCUCUAUGAACUGCGUUGUUAUUAUUGUUUUCGGAAUCUCGGAUUAGAGAUUUACGACCAACUCAACCAUUCCCUAAACAAUAAGGUCACUUACUGUGUUGUUUGGAGAACUUGAUAUGGAAAAUGCAGUGGAUGCCCUCCAGGCCAACUUGAAUACCGAAAGAAAUGAUUCAGGGAGUGAUUUAUAUUUUUUUUUAUUAAUAUAUUUUCUGUCAGUUUUAUCUGACAAGAAUGCUUUUAUUUAUUCAUUAUUAAUAAAUUCUCUGUCGGUUGUAUCCGACACAAGUUUUGUUGGUUUUAGUAGUUUCUGUCGAUUUUAGCCGACAGAGAAUGCUCUUAUUUAUUCAUUAUUAAUAUAUUCUCUGUCGGUUAUAUCCGACACAAUUUCUGUCGGUUUUAGAGUAUUUUCUGUAGAAGAAUUCAUUUCCUAACGUUGGCAGAUCUGUCGGUUAUUAUAUCCGUCACUGCAUCAAUUUUCUGUCAGAUUUAGCUUAAUAUCCGACAAUAAUAUGUGCUUUUUGUCGGUUAUCAUAGCGACAAUAAUACAUGGUUUCUUAGUAGUGUUUGAACCUUACCAAAAAUGAAGCCUUCGAGCCAAGUUGACAUGGGCCUUCAGCCCAAUAAACCUAGGCUCAACCUUGCGGCCCAGUUUCUUUAAGCCCAGGCCUCUGGGUCUUAGAAUCCGACCCAGUUGUGAAGACUAGGCCUAAUUAGCUCAAGUUGAGGACUCGAGCCCAAAUCUAACCCGGAUUCGGCCCAACCCGGUCGGAUCCUAAAACCCUUGGCUGCGCGUGGUUAGUGUGUAGGCCUGUGUGUCGGAGCGCGUGAGGGCAAGCAAUGGCCGGCACGUGGUGCAUACACGUCUACGCCUACGGCGACCCCAGCGACCCAUUUCGGCGCAUGGCCGUUGGAGCCGCCACCAUGCGACGACGUGUGGGAGAAACCAAGGUUUCCCCUUAUGUUUUUCGACGUCCUAAAUCCGUUUAUAACAUCUGUUUCCUGAAAUUCAAUCAUUUGAAUAAAAGUUUUAUAAAUUGGACCCUUUAUGUGCUUAGGUGCAUUUCGUUAGCGGUGUUUCCGUCUUCGCUAGUUUGCAUGGCUCUUCGACGGUGAAGUAUCUGUUAGUUGACCCCUUCUAAAAUGCAUAUUUUAUUAUUAGAAAUGCAUACAUGAAAAGCAUGAUUUAAUGGUUACGUUUUAUGAAAUGUUUAUGAGUAAUUUGAGAUAUUAUGCUUUAUUGAGAAUAUUUUGGAACAUUAUACCUUAUCGUUUUUACCGUUCUUUGUAGUAUAAAUGAUUGAUGACUAUAUACUAUUUAAAACAUGUUUUAUGAUAUGUUGUUUGAGCUAUUGAGCUCCUUAAGAUAUAUGUACUUAUGUUGGAAAGUAUAUAUUUAAUGUUUUUUUGCUUAUCUAGUGGUCAUUGUCCUGCUUACGGGCGAUGUUAUACCUACGAGCGUAUGUUCUGCCUACGGGUGUAUGUUCUACUUAUAGGCAUAUGUCCUGCCUUGCCUACGAGCGUAUGUUCUGCCUACGGGUGUAUGUUCUGCCUAUAGGCGUAUCUCCUGGCUUCGGGCGAUAUUGAUACCACUAUUUAGUACAUCAAAUAUGAUAUAUGUUUUAUGAAAGGUUUUAUGGCAUGUUAGGGUUUUUGGAAAACCUAUCACUUAAUAUGCUACUAGUUUUCAUAAAAUUUGGGGGGUUAGUACAUUGUGGAAUAUUUAUGUUCAUACUACUUAUAUAUCAACUUGGUCCACUCAUGUUUGUUUUGCACCCCCUCAGGACAUAGAAACGAGGCUUACGGACCGAGCUACGAGGACUUCUCUUACCAGUGAUCCUUGUGUCAUCUCCUCUAUGUUUGACAUCACUUGUAAUGGCACUUCUGUACUACCUUCUGCUUGUAAUUUGUUUUAGUAGUAUUCUGAACAUGUCAUGCAUUGUCACUAAUUCAUUGUUGGCAGUUGAAUAUUCUUAUAUUUCGGAAAUGUUGUAUUUUGAAUAUUAUAUGCGUAGUUGCGCGAAAUUUAUAUGCAUGUUUCAUAUGUUCUUGGCAUAUGCAUUCAUUAAAUGGCUUGCGUCACCCUCGGAUGUUGGCCAGCACGUGGCCAUCUCGCUAUCCCCUAGACAUAGGAAUCGGGGAGUGUCAAGAUGGUUCAAGAGAAAAAGAGAACAAGCAUGCCACUGUUGUAGGCAGUUAACAGACAGUGUUUGCAUUUGAGUGUGUGUAAAAAUUGCACAUUAAUCUAACUUCAUAGCCACACGAUUGUAAACAAAGUGGGAAGCUGGUUUGGUAUCUUUUUUGUGUCUUGAGCAAAAUAGGGCUUAAAAGUCAGUGUAACUUCAUGUAUACUUGCCUAAAAUGUAAAUGAAAAUAAAAACUAAAAUGAAAAACAAAAUGUAAUCAUUUCAUGAUAAAGUCAAGAUUAAAAACAUUCAUAAAAGUUAAAUUUAAGUUGAUGGGCCGAGUUACAUGUCUUGAAACGUAGAUUGAGGAGAAAUAUAAUGCUAGAUAAGUCCACCGAGAUCACUGGUGUCAAAUUGGACUUAUUUUAAAAUAUGCACCUUAUAGAGGAAAUGAAGGUGAAAAGGAUUGCACAUCAACUUAAUCAUACCACAAGGUGACCAAGUAGUAAAAUUUUUAGAUCUCAGGGAUCAUAUGCAAACAAUUUCAUCAUAAACUACAAAAUAGAAUGACAUAUAUAUUAUGAAGUAUUGGAACAUAAUGAAAACAUGGGGAACAAGCCUAUCAUUUAAGUAUUCAACAAGUCUCUUACAAUUUAUUGAAAAAAAUAAAAUUCAAAAUGAAAGUUAUCUAUUUUCUGUCUAAGUGAGUUGCAACCUAGGUGGGUCUAGGUGGGUACUUAUGCGGUCUAGGUGGGUGCCUUAGCAGGUUUAGGUGCCUUUUCUUAAUUUUCAAACGCCUAGGUAUUAAUCGGAGCGGUGACCAGUCACAUAGCAUUGCCUUUAGAACAAUGAGUUCUAUUGUAGGCAACGAAGAAUGAGCAACCUCGAUCAUAUCGUUGUGUUAGAGCAGGGUUAGAUAUGUCAUUUGGUGUUGACAAUGAUCGUAAUUCGUAGUUGGUGGCCUUCAAUUAUGUCUUGAGCCAGUUUACACAAUGGCGUUAAUGACAUCAACAUAUCAGAUGACUCAUACAUGUGCAUUUAAGAGAGCAAAAUAUUUUCGGGCUUUGGUUGUCUGCGUGGCAGAUGUCAAGCCUCGAUCUCGAGAUACAUCAAGGAUUGGCACGUGACGCCACAACGUACUUGUUUAACUAUCUUGCCUUGCUUCAGAGAUAUGACCAAAACUAAACCAACGUUUCAACAACGUAAUACCAAUUCCCCUUACUUUGUGAUUGCAUUUAACCUUUGUGUUAAACUUCUUAUGUACCAUAAGACGGGAUCAAGCCAUUCACAGGUCACCAUUUUGUUUGGCUCCGAAAUUUAUCAUGGCAUUAACUAGCUGAAAACAUAGAGUUCCAGACAACUCCUAAUGUGAGUGAUGCUCCAAUAUAUCAUUUAAUUUUCCGCAUAUAUCAUAAUUUUUUCAAACAAUAAUUCACAUUUUAGUGAACCAAAGAUGCACAAUAUUAACGUUUAACCACAUUAAUGAAUAAUAAGAUCAAAUAUCAUUUCACGAAAGUUAAAUGAAGCCAACCUCUGUAUUUCUCUACAUAGAUUCCAAGAUAUAUUAUGGUAACUUCAAGUUACAAAUACAAGAGUACACCUUGAGAAACUUUUAUUCAUGAAUCCAGACAGAUGAGGGUUUCAGACAAACUUCAAAUAAUCGAAUAAAAAUGGAAUUCCAGACUAACUCAAAUAAAUCCAAACAGAGGAAGGUUUUGGACCAACACAAUGCAACCGAAUAGGAAGUGGUACUUUAGACCAACUCAACGUAAUCUAGACAGUGGUGGGUUCCUGAUCCACUUAACGAAACAAUCCCUAGGAUUCGUAAAACCUUCCAAUGCAAAUUAACCAAGCGGGACCAUAGGCAAGCAUCCAAUAGUGUGGUCCCCUAAUACGGAUUAACUAGGCAUAACUACCUAUAGAACGAUGUAACUAAGUAGGUAGUGACCCCCAAUGCGUAACAAUUCAGAGUCAUGCAUAUAUGAAUUCUUAAUGAGGAUUAACCAGGCAUAACCAUCCAUGAUAUAAUAGUAUGGUUCCCCAAUGUGAUUAACUAAAUAGGACUAUUCCUAUAAUGCUUAUGGUCCUUCAAUGUGGAUUAACUAGGCAGUUCCAUAGGCAUGCAUCUAACAGUAUAGUCCCCCAAUGCAGAUUAACCAUGCAUGACCACCUAUGGAAACCACGUAAUCAAGUAGACAGUUACCUAUCAAUGUAGAUUAACUAGGUAGAGUCAUCCAUAGAAUUCAUAUGGUCUUCUAAUACGGAUUAACAGGUACGAUCAUCCAUAUACCACACUACUAUUUGGCGCAGUCACACAAUCACACAUCACACAUACAUACCUCAUACAAACCACUUCUUACAUCAAUCCGUAUGAAUCACAAGUGUAAGCACACACACACUAUUGGUUCAACGUAACAAUAGAUAUCUAGUCGCACAGACAUACAAGUUCUACAGGAUAAUUCUAACAUGAUUCCCAACCCAUCUCCUCCUACUGGCAUUCGCACAUGUCAUUAACUCAUCUAGUAGCCCAAUAAGCACGUAAAUCUCAGUAAGGCGUCAUUUACAGUUAAACCGAGGUGCACAUGCCCUAGGAUGAAUUGUUAACCAAGAUAGGCCCACUGGGCUCUACCAAGUCUCAAGUAAUGCUAAUUCUAGCAUUUCAGAACGAUUCGGGAUAUGUUAACCAAAAUUCAACCCUCGAUCAGCAUGGUCAUGACCGGUUGGUCAACAAGCCUACGUAAUCCAAUCAGGAAGAUCCCCACAACGGAUUUCAUAUUCGUGAAUUCCUAAGAGCCUCACAUUAGUCACACGUCAACAUACUAUAAUUUCAUGACGAUCCAACGAUCGAAUCUUUGCCUACCACAAAGAUCAAGUGGAUGCCCUUUGUGAAAUUAGAUUCAAACAAUGAAAUCUCAUUGAAUGGACCAAAAAAUGAAUUCAGGGCAUCAAUUUUAUUCUAGGGAAACAAAGUCGGGUCACUGGUUGCGCGCUGCAGCACCAACAUUCCAGCUCUAGCUAAUUUGAUUAUGUCACACGUUUUAUGUACAAAACGUUCUUAUUUAACUAAGUCUUCAAUAUCCCAGCUCCACCAACAAUAAAAUGAUAAAAAUCAUUGCAAAAAUAAAUAAAGGAAGCAGAAUCAGACGGAUAAAUCCCAUCAAUGAGAAGUACUCCAGAUCCAGCACACCAUCCUUGACUUCAAAGUUUCUUCUGCAAUAUCCAAGUAAACAGAUAUUUGUGGCACUAAUCUAAGUAUAGUGAUUAGCAUAGUUAUAUAUGUGGCCUCAAGACAACUUUAUUUGCAUUUUGGGAAAGUUGCCGAGGGAUGAGAAAUUUGAUGUGUUUCUUUGAUUGUUUGCCUUAUGCUUGAGGGACUUUCAAAGUUUGUGGGCCUUUUAUUCUAAACUAUGAAAAAUGCACUACAAGAACAUUAUCAAUAAAUUACUUCCUCAUCUGAUUGAUACACUUUUUGUAUAUUUUCUGUUUGAAGAAGUAUAAUUUCUCUGAUUUCCAAAUAGGUAAAUCUUACUUCCUCAUCUGAUUGAUAUACUUUUGGUAUAAUACAUAAUUUCAACAACUGGCUUUUAUGCGUAUUAAUAUAUGCUGCAUGUAAGAGCUACACGAUACAGAGAGCCUAAUCACGCUUUGGAAGGCAAUGGAACCCACUUGCGGUAUUCUGCAAGAGCCCACAGGGGGUAGAUGUUUCUAUAAGCUGCAUAAUGUAGCAUACAAUUCUUCAUGAACACUCCAGUGAUUUCCUGCCAUACAUGAUUAGUGAAUAGAUGUUAUAAAACGUUGCAAGUAAAAAUUUGAGCGUACGUAUACGCAACACGAUAUGUUAUUUUGUGUUUCAUCCUUUUUACUAAUCAAGCUUGCAAUGCAAGUAAGGUUGGGGAAAUAUUUUUAUGUUGUUUGGAAUAGAUGUUAAGGAUAGGGUAAGCAAGAUACCUGCUGAGGAAAAUCACCAUUUUCCAUCUGAGAGUUGAUUAUCAACUUUGCUGCACGAUGAAGAGGUGCGGGGUCUCUUUCGGCCUGUCCGGCAUAAAUCAAACCCAUCAUAGCCCAAGCUGUGUGUACUAAAUUUGAUCGGUUUCCUUCAAGAGGAACGUACUCCUGUAUCACCCACCACAGAGUGAAAUAUUUUUAGUCUAAGACAAUGAUAUUUAACUAAGAAACUUGAAGCUAGCUUCAAACAUAAUCCACCUCCCAUAUUUUACCUUUUUUGGACAUGAAAGGUAGCUCUCUCCCCAACCACCGUUCUCUUUCUGGAUUGCGAGUAGAAAAUUAAUAGCUUUGCGUAUAACUUCACAGUUGUUGAAAGUCUUGCCAGCAGCUGUUAACCCUCCAAGAGCAAACCAGGUACCAUAUGUGAAGCAAACUCCCCAAUUCCCGUACCUGUGCAAAUGUUUCUUAACUAAGUUGUUUCUCAGCUAUAGUUGUUAAUCAAAGAAAUCAAAUUUUUGAUUUAAUAAUAUGAUAUUACCAUGAACCAUCUUCCAUUUGUAUAUUUUCAAGGUACUGUGCAGCAUUGGUAAUAAAUUGAUCUAUCUCUUUCUUCCUGUGGCCAGGGUACAACUUCUUAAACAAAACUAAAGCCUGAAUUGCUGAUGAAGUGCAUUCAACAUAUUCAUGCUCAACAACAAUGUCCGCGAAGAAUUCUGUGGGAUUCAACAUCUGGGGAGAAAAAAAGUAGUGAGAAUAUCCAGUAAGUAUAUACUAAUUAAGAAUGCCUUAAAAGACUUUAGUUUCUUACACACCUAACUAAGUUCAACAACAUUACUCCAAUUCUUUAAAAUUCUUACUUCUAACCAUUCUGCUGCUCCAGCUGGUUCCCAGGCUGCUAAACCACCAUUUUUACUCUACAAUGAGCCAUAAAAUGAGAUUUGUAAUGAGUAGAGAGACCUGAUAGACCUUGCAGUGAAGAACAAAUGUCUUCAAACGCUACAAGUUUUUUAAGGUUUUUAAACUAAGGCAGCCAUGCAUUAGAUCCAAAAUUUGAUUACGGCAGGGAAACAAAAUGCAACUCGUACUCAUAUAUAUGACUGACUGACAUAAUAGUUGUACCUGCAGGGAAAUUAGGACAUUGACAGCAUCGUAUAACCGCUCAGGUUCCAUUUUUUCACCAACCAGCUCCGGUGGCAUCAUCGAUAAAAGCAGGCAACACUGUACAGGGGAUUAUGGUGAGAAAAAUGGAAAUAGCAUUUAAGGUGGAUAACUAAGUUGAAGUAUUUGUUACCUUUAAACCCUCUGCAGUGCAAUCAGAAACUUGCCAUCCAUGGUCUUGAUCAGAGAAAGUCCACGAUCCUUUGGAAAUGUGGCGGUGCAUGCUUUUGAAGUCACCCGAUGGAUUGUCCUUAACCUUUACAAUUCGAUUCCAAAACAGUCACUAGUUAGAACAAAUUAAUCGAUGCACAUAUACAUUUUACCAAAAAUGAAAGUUCAGUUGACUAUAUAAAAAACGAACCUGGGAUUUCUUGACGAAGUCAUGUCCUCUAGCAAGUGUGGGUGCUAUUUCAUCGGUUAGAUUGGAAGCAAGCAAAGCUUGAAUGGCAAAACCAGUAUCCCACUGUUGACUGCCAAAACUCUGCACGUAUUCAGAAAAUGUAUCAACUUAUAAUGUUUUCCAAUAAUUUAGAAGAGUAAACUUUUGCAACAGAGAAAAGGGUAAAGAACAAAUCAUCGUAUCAUAUACUGUAUUAACAAAAUGUGUACUAACUUGCAUCUUCAUCCCAUCCUCAGCAACCCAUAAAUAAUCUGGUAUCCUGGCAAGAUGCUUUUUAAAAUAAUCACCAUUUGGGUCUUCAGCCCAACAAGCCAGCAUGCAUAACACCUUUUCGACACAUCCAAUGGUAAUGUAUCUGCUGUUUUCAUCUUCAUAAUGAAUGUGCUUCAUUGUUACUUCGAGAGCCCUUUUCCUGAUCAUCUUGUUAAAUGGCCAGCGAGUAAGAAGAGGCUCCGUACAUAUGUACAGACUAUCCCAUAGAAAGUCCUGUAUCCAAGGAUGAGGGUAGUAGAUGUCCUCCUGCAUUCAAAUUACCGCAAUCAGUUUAUGUACCUAAACAAGAAAAAAAUUGACUAAGUAGCCAUCUUGUUCAAGUUCAACCUACUUUAGCACAGUGAUGACGCACUCCCUUCCAGUUAAUUUCGUCAUAAGGCUGAGCAUAGAGUUCUUCCCUUAAUUGUAGUAUGAGAGGUGUGAUUGGACCAACAAAUCUUUUCCCAUAUAAGUAUGACAUAGGCAUGUAAACCAUCCUACAGUAGCACCACAUUUUUGCUGCAUUUGCAUGAUGUAGAAGAUAUUAAAAAAGAAGACUAUAGGUAAAGAGAGACUAAUUAAACCUAUCAACAUGUGAAAGACUGAAUUAUUUGUACUAGUGGAGUCCGGAAUUGUGCUAACCUGGAUGCAUGGGAAGAAAUGAAGGCAGAAUCCAAAACUCUGGGGGCAUUGGGUUGCUUCCGGACCACUCAAACACACCAAGUAUCUGCAAGAAUCAACUGAGCAAGAUUAAUUAAAAGGGGAAACCCUCUUAAAUAAUAGUAGUGUUCUCAAUGCCAAAUAUGACUCAAUCACUCUUUAAUAAACCGAAAUAGUUAAGGUUAUAUAAGAUUUUGGUCUGCCAUAUGUAAAAUCAUAUUUGACUUAAUCUAGUUAAAAGGUGGGACUCCACCUUUAGAAGAUAUAAAGUAAUAGUUAAUUCUAAAUUUCACUUCAUCUUUCUCUACUGAACAAAAGCUAAAAGUUUAAAUAAUUAUUUGAUUAUGUAUGCAUUGGAUAUAUAUGGUAUAACUUACAUUACUAGUUUGGAGUCAAAUAUGAAUUUAUAGCAUUUUUCUUUUUCUUUUAGAUUGCACACUAACAGAGGUAAAUUUUAGUAGGGGGUCACCACUAUUAUAGAGUGUAUCAACAAUAAGGUUAAUUUUGUUAAUAUUGAUCCGCUAUCAUUAACAGCUAUACAUCUUUAUAUAUUGUCGAUAUUGACCUGUUAUCAAUAACGAAUAAUCUCAAAUAAUUCGGUUAUAUAUGGCAUGUGUAAAUUACCAAUAUGUUAGACAAUUUGCUAUAGUGAUAGUGCUAUUUAAGAACAACAGUUAACCAAGAGCCUAAGCAGUUUGUCUUAGUGCUGCAGAUAGGCAUACCGAAAGCCAAGUUUUACCCCAUGAGGGGAUGUGGGUAACACUGCCAUGAUCAAGAAUCCACUUUCUAGCUCUUGCACAAGCAUUGUCUUGGCCACCAUCAGGUCCUUCUCCAAGAAUACGCAUACAAAUGUAGCUGAGAGCUGUGCAGAACAUGGUGCUGUGUCCUUCAAUGUGUAAUCCCCAACCACCAUCUUGGUUCUGA
rnacentral:lncRNA from 1 species